rnacentral:lncRNA from 1 species
UACAUGAUGUUGCAGUAUGUGAUAGAUUAUAUGAUGAAAUUAUGAAUGCUCUUUAUCCUAAUGAACCAAUCUUAGAGGAAAAUGAGGAUGAUGAUGAUGAAGCCCAAGCACAUUUAGAUGAUACACCUACUAGUCCUGUUCAUAACUCAAGUAAUGCACCGGCACACCCACCUGUAGAAACUCCAACUUUUAGUGGACAACCUGCUAAACGUACAGAAACAUCAUUAGUUUGGAAUUUUUUUAAUGUUCAUAACUCAAGUAAUGCACCGGCCCACUCACCUGUAGCAAUUCCAACUUUUAGUAGACAACCUGCUAAACGUCCAAAAACAUCAUUAGUUUGGAAUUUUUUUACUCAAGUAAGAGAACUAAAUAAGGCUAAGUGUAAAACUUGUGGGAAAUUAUUGGUUCAUAUAUUUACUGGAGACCGUAGCGGCACGGGUAGUUUAACCAUGCACAUAAAAAUACACCCUACAGAUAGGGAUAGAUUUUUUCAAAUGCAAGCGCAGCAAGAGGGGACAAGUGUAGAUUAUGCGGUUAACCCUAUUAUAGGUUCAAAUCUAGUUCAAUCAGGAAUUAACACUGUCACCGGAGGUAUUUUAUAUUACGAUCCAAAUAGAGAUCGUGAAGAAUUAGCAAAGAUGAUUAUUGUUAUGUGCUUACCUUAUACUUUUGCUUCUAAUCCUAAUUGGGUUCAUUAUAUUAUAAGAUAUUUAAUCCUACUUAUAAAGGUUGGCCUCGCGCAACAGCUAAGGUCGAUUUUUAUAAAUUCAAACAUGAAUAUGAACAAUAUUUGCGCUAUUUAUUUACUCAUAUACCUAAUCAGAUUUCUAUUACUAUUGAUAUUGGUAGAAAUGGUAAUGAUUGUGAUUAUAUAACUGUUACAAGUCAUUGGAUAGAUGAGAAUUAGACAAUGCAAAAACGUAUAAUUGCGUAUAGAAUAAUUAAUUCACGUCACACAGGUAAGUUUAUAGCUAACGUUGUUUCAGAUAUUUGUAGAUAUUUUUGCUUUAGCAAUAAAAUAAUGUCAAUUUCUAUAGAUAUUGCUUCUAGUAACACUAGUGUUAUAGGCAUGCUUACAAAAACACUAAAUCCUGCAUUUAGUAAUAUUUUCCAUGUUAGAUGUAUUUCUCAUAUUUAUCAUUUAAUUGUCGGUGAUGGUAUGCGAAUUUUAAACAUAGUAAUUGAAAAGGUUCGAAUGGCUCUUAAUUUACUUUUUUAUUCAAACCGUAGAACUAGACUUAGGGAGUAUUUUAAAAAAUGAGAUGAAUAUGGCCUUAGAGAAAGAAAUGUUCCUAAACCUUGUCCGGCUAGAUGGAAUUGUAUGUACGAAAGUUUAAUAGUUGCAUAUGAAUAUAGAAACCCAACUAAUGCUAAUGUUUAGUUAUCGGGUAGGUGGUGAUGAUGAUGAUGAAAUGCUUACUACCCAGGAUUGGACGAAUGUUAAAAUUCUUUUAGAUUUUUAGAACAUUUUCAAGUUGCUACAAAUGUAUUUUCUGGGCAAUAUUAUCCUAAUAUUUCAAAAUGUUUAGUUUAUAUUGCCGCACUAGCUGAUUUGUUUGUUGAAUUUAGCGAGGGUAGGGAUAUUUAUAAACUUGCUAUAAAUGAAAUUAAACAAAAAUUUAAAAAAUAUUAUUUCACUAUCCCUCUUAUUUUUGGUGUUGCUGCAAUUUUAAAUCCUACAAUGAAAUUGGGAGGUCCUCAUUUUUGGUAUUCUAAUAUUUGUAAGGCUUUAGAUCUUUCAAACGAGGAAGUUGCUACACUUGCACAUGCAAAAGCAUCAAUUAAAAUUAAUGCUCAAACAAUUCAUAAUGCUUAUCAAGUUGCCUUAGAGCAUGAAAGGCCAAAUAUUCCAACCCCCACUUCGUCUAGCUCACAAUCGUCUAAAAGAGUUGCGGGCUUAACAACUCUUAAAUUUUGGACGGAGUUUCGGGGUUCUCAAGGUGAUAAUUAUGGUGAAACUUCACAUCUAAAUGAGCUUCAAGUUUACUUGUCUCAAGAACUUGAAAAGGAGAAUCCAGACGGCUCUUUCGAUCUUUUGGAACGGUGGAAGACAAGGGAAAAAUAUUUUCCGGUUCUUGCAAGGAUGACUCGGGAUAUUUUAUCAAAAUCAAGCUUCAACUGUUGCAUCGGAGAGCGCUUUCAGUCAAGCAAGACUACAAAUAGGUGACCAUAGAGCGGCGACGAGGGAUAGCUUGGAAAAAUCGGUACCUUUUAGAGAUUGGAUCCGCACGGAAAUAAGAAACUUUGGAAUUGCAGAAUCACAAGCGGCAAUAAAUGAAGCUUACGAAGAAAUGAUAGCUGAACUUUCGGAGGAUUCGGCUUCGCCCGGAAGUGGUGAUGAACAUGCUUCGUUUCCACCACCACCUACACAACCUCCUCCCAACCUUGACGGAUUUAUGAGAUUUGUUAGAGAUACAAUGUAGAUUAUGCACCACCACCAACACAACAUCCUCCCAACCUUGACGGAUUUAUGAGACUUGUUAGAGAUACAAUGUAGAUUAUGAUGUAACUUGUACACCGACACAUCUUCUUUUAGUUUUUUCCUUUUAAUGUGGUAUUAGUACCUUGUUGUGCUCAUUCCAUUGGGGGAAGGAAGACUAAGAAAGAUAUGCCAUUUUGGGUAAUAAAAAUUAUAAGACACACCAUUGAAUAUCUUUUUUCUCAAUAUUUCUUUGACUUUACUUCGAAUUAUUUAUAAGCUACAAUAUAUAUAUAUAUAUAUAUAUAUACUACAAUAAAAUAUAUAACUAUAUAAGUUAUAAUAUAUACUACAUGAAUAUAUAUAAGAGAAUAUAUAUACAUAACAUACAAUAUAUAACAUACAAUAUAUACUACAAGAAAAUAUAUAAGGAUAUAUAUAUAUAUAUAUAUAUACACACACAUAAUUAUAUAUACAUAAGAUACAAUAUAUAUACUACAUGAAAUAUAUAACAAAAAAACCCCCGCCAAGCCCGACCCGCUAGGCCCAGGACCACUAUGGGCUUAUGCCCGUCACGGGCUGGUCUCACCCGCCAGGCCCACGAAGCCCGAGACCAUGAAGCCCGGCCCGUGAAGCCCGUUUAGGCCCGGGCCAAAAUACACCCCUAGUUUGUAACGAGUAUUCAAUUUGUUUUUUUAUUUUGGUUUAAAAUAAAUAUUUAUAUAUAUAAUUAAGAAAAAAAUUAAUUUAUUUUUACAAAAUAACUCAUAUGUAUAUAUUUUUAAAAAAAUUCUUAUUCUUCACAUUAAAUAUUUAAUUAUAGGUAAUUUAAUCAUACUAGAUAUUUUUAUAUAGGAUUUAGUAUUUUUUUAAUGAGCAUGCUAAAAGCAAAUUAAACACUUAUUAUAAACUGGAGGAAAUAAUAAUUUAAGCAAAUAUCCUAUUUUAGGCCAUUAUUUAUAUUGUACUAGUGAUGUUGUUCGCGCUUUACGCAAUUGUGAUUCCUUUUUUCUUUCCGUAAAAUACUUAAUUUGUUUGGUAAAUUGGUCCAGAUAUAUCGAAGAAUACAUUUUCAUAAAUACAACCAAUAAUUAAUAGAUUAAUCAUAAAUAUAAUACAUACUCGUUCGCUCUAACACUCUACAAAUCACUAAUUUGCCAUCAACAACCGAUUUUUUUUACAAUAUGAAGGUAGCUAAAAAGUGUUUGACCAAAAAAUAUAAAUUUUUUCGUUAAACUAAUUGGAUAAGAAGAUAACGGAUAAUACUAAUUAAAUAUAAUAAUUUAUAGAUCUGAAACGUAUUUUGUGGAUAAUGCGGCAUUGCACUAAAACAGAUUUUAAUGUGAUAUAUGUUAAAUUAUACGGUUAUGAAUGCAAGGAGAAUAAACAUAAGCAAUAAAUACAUUAAAUGAUACUAAUUGUAAAUAAAGAUAACGAUUCACCCAAUAUUGAAUAAGGCGGAUAAUUCCUCUAUUUGAUAAUGACGUAAGACAAAUGAAUCCGAGAAUAUAGGAAGCUUUCUCGGACUGAUACGAGAAAUGUGAAAUAAACGACAAUCGAACCUCUUUGGAAAGGCAAUAUUUGCAUUUUACUCGAGAGUCAACGUUUCAAGAGAGUUCUUAUCGUAUAGAAUAUUACAUACCAUUUUCUUUCUCUGCCGUUUUAUUUAUACGUGACAUAUCACUAAUCUAAUCUAAAGUACAGGUACAGAAUAUUCUCCUAAAUAUCUUAAUACAAAAUUAACCGUUAUUGCUGGCCUCAAGAUUUGACCUCGGCUCUGAUUAACAGCUCGCUAAUAAAUUUCUUUAAUCUUAUAUACGACCUCUACCUAAUUGCUUCUUAAUAAUCUAUUCUUGUGCCAAGUUUCUUUAGUCAGAUUUUAACUCAUACGAAAAUUUACCAUAUCAAGGUAACAAAAUAAUUCGUUAUUUAUUGUUUGGAGAUAAAGAGUAUUGUCGUUUCCUUGCAAUUAUACAUAAAUUUUUCUCAUCUAGCUACCUUGGCCUUCCUUCCGAACUCUCCCAAUUGUUUUCUUCCUCCUGACGAUACCGAACAUCUCUAGCAUCUCUAUUUUUAUCCUCGUAAAAUGAUUAAAAAACAAAGAACUUCAACUGUUUUGAGCCAUCAUACAAAAUUGAGAUAGUAAUUAGUCCUAAGUUAUGAAGGAAAAGAAUAUCAAAACUAAAAUUAUAGCAUCUCGAUGUUAAACAUUUGGGAGUUAUGCACACAAAAGGAUGGGAGAGUUCUGGGUAUUAAGAGCAGGAGAUGAAGAUGUAUAAAUUAAGAAGGUAAACUUUUAGAACCAUACAUAAUAGAUGUACAAAAAAAUGACAACAUCCACAAUACAAAUGUAGCAAAAACAUUUAUACUGUCUAUAUUUUUCAUAUAACAUCCUACUAUUAAUUAGCAACAAAUAUCAAGGCAAUUACGUCUUUUACGUCUUUCACUAUUGAAUCAAUAACAAAAAUAAUAAUCCAGUAAAAUCUCACCAGUUAGGUCUGAAGAGGAUAGAGUGUAUGCAUACCUUACCCUUAUCUUAGAGGGGAUAGAGAGACUAUUUACGGGAAACCCUCAGCUUAGAUACAAUAGAUUUGUAACAACAAAAACCCAAAAAUAAUCAGCAACAUGGGAAACAACAAAUAAAUGAAAAAGUAGUAACACAAAAAUUAUGCAAAGGUAUGAAACCCAAUAUAUAUCGCUAACAUUAUUAGACAAAACACUAUCAUACUCUUCGGUAGAAAGAGAAAAAUCGGGACAAAGAGGAAAGCCGCUCGACUAUCCUUUAACAACCCUAAUGCUCGACCUCCACACUUUCAUAUCAAGAGCCAUAUCCUCGAAAAUCUAGAGAUGUGCCGUGUCCUGUCUUAUCACCUCGCUUCAAUACUUUUUGGACCGCCCUCUACCUCUUCUCGUACCUGUCAAAGCCAACCGCUCAUACCUCCUAUCUGGGGCAUCUAUGCUUCUUCUCUACACGUUGUCACACCUUCUUUUUUCCGAGGGGGAUAGAGAGUUUUUUCAAUUAAAGUGACAUUAAUCGAAAUGAGAUUAUUUGUUUAUUUAUUCAGAGUAGUCACUUGGGAUAUUUAUGGUGUACCAAGUCAUCAGUUUAUUUUAAAUUCAAAUCGAAGAAGUUGACUCUAUUUUUUGGUUCGCGACACAGAAGACCGGAUAAGAAAUUAUGUUAAAUCGGAAAAAGGUGUGAGACACUCCCGAGUUUCAUAGUUUUAGCACGUCACUCAACUAUUAAUAAUUGCCCUAAUUAUCCGAUUUAUUACAUGUGUUAAUCCUAUUGUGCAUUUUAUUAAAUUAACCGCUUUUAGUAUUUAUGAAAUUUGUUUAAACAAGUCAUGAUGUCACGCACUCAUUUGUUUUGAUACACGUUGCAAACCGCACCACAUGAAAUGCACCCGCAACUUAAGACAUAUUUAUUUUUAUUAAUAUUAGAAGUUAUGAUUGGGUCACAUGAAGUGCAUACCCGAAUGGGAUUUGCAUAUCAUGACCAUGCUAUGAGAAUCGUACACAUAAUUACUAAGAUUUAUUAUUAAUAACGCCUAAAGUAAGCUACGAUGCUUAUUAUUCAUUUCCUAAAACUAAUUUUGAGAUUAUUGUGAGGCCAUUAGGAAAAUCAUAUUAUGAUGGAGAACAGUGCCGGCUAUGCUUAAAACCAACUAUAUUCCAAAUAACGCAGGCAAAGCAAAUAAGAAAACAACUGUAAUGGGCACGUCAAAUCUAUUAGUCUUGUUCAAUAAUGAAGAAAUUCAUGUUAGACGAAGGACAAAAGAAUUCAACUUUGGAUAACAUAAAUGAAUGGCCCAAGAAAAGCAUUUAUUCGGUAAAGGUGUAAACUAUCCAGAAAACACAUGCUGGGAAAGACAUAAAAUCACUCCAACAUUUCCUAUAACAAGUAUUUGGCCAGCAACUCAAUUUUAAUAUCACUUGAAUUUCCAAUGGGGCAAGUCUUAUCUUAAGAAAACAACAAUAUUGUUCUUCUGUUUCUAUAAUUUAUUUUGUUUAAGAAUUGGUCAAAUGGGGAGCGGGUAUGGGCUUGAGCGAAUUGGACUUAGAUUUGGUCCAAUUUGGGCCAUGGACUUGGACAUAUGAACAAGAUUUUAAGAGAACUAGUCCAAAUUAAAUCUUUUUUUUUUUUGUAAUUUUGAUUUUCUUUUAUAUAUUAAUAGAUGAAAAAAUAAAAAUAUUACCCCUAAACUUGAAUAGCAAGGUAAAAUAGUAAUUGCUCAAAAUUUACUUAUCAAACUAAUAUAUAUUAUUUGGAAAACCCUUUCUUUAUUUGUAAACGAAGAUAAAGCAUAUAUUUAAAAAAAUGACUACUUUUUUUAUUGUUUUCAAUUUUCUUUAAGUAAAAUAUAUAAAAUGUGAGAUGAAGUGAAGAUUCUUCGUAAACACGACGUCAGUUACAUAGCCUUUCGUAGAUAAGUACAAACGACUCUGUACGGAUCAGUGAGACUCUAAUAAAUCGGCAUGUGUUUUGUGACUCAUAUGAACCUAGAGCUCUGAUAACAACUUGUCACUAUCCCAAUUCACCCACCAUGAACAUGCCACGAUGGCACCUAGUUCCUACAACUAGGCAAGCCUAAUAAUGCAGAAAUUUAAGGUAACUUGCGAAAAAUUUAAUUAAAGUAAGAAAACUAGAAGAAAACGUUGUAUAAGUGCAACUUGGCAUAUACAACUAAAAAAUAAUAUGCGGAAGUCUAUAUCAUCCCAAAACCCGGAAACUCACGGGAACCACAAGCUAAUAGAAAUGUAAUAUACUGCUCUAACUCCAGAAUGUCUAAACAAUUGAAAGAAAAGGAUAGAAUAACUACUAAAGCUGGAACAGAAUAGAGACUCUUGGUCUGCGGACGCGGUAGAUAUACCUCGAAGUAUUCGUUAGAUCCCUCCGCCUCGAGGAUCGUACGCUUGAGUGGAGGUACAUGGAUCUGCACAUGAAAAACAUGCGCAGAAGGGGCAUGAGUACACCACAACGUUACUUAGUAAGUGCCAAGUCUAACCUCGGUCGGGUAGUGGCGAGAAAGGUCAGGGCCCGUCUGAGAUUAAACAAUAUAAUAUGAAUGCUGGCAACAGUAUGAAAUAAGCAGAAAUAAUGGAAUACAAUUGUGAAGUAAUUCAGGUUACACAAACAACAAUCAACACACCGAAGAUAAGAUAACACAGAGUAAAAUAGCUCAAUAUCGGUACUAAUUACGAGGAUCUCCCAGGAUACCGUCCUGUAGUCUAUUUCUAUGUCAAUACAACGACGAGGAUAUCACAGGAUACCAUCCUGUAGUCCACUUCCAUGCCAAUACCAAUAACGAGGAUCUCCCAGGAUACAAUCCUGUAGUCCAUUUCUAUGUCAAUGAGCAGGGGGUCUAACGAGAAUCUAACCCGUAGUCCCAAAGUAAAUGUGCAUGUGGAUCUAUCGGGAAUCUAACUCGUAGUCCCAAAGUAAAUAUGCAAGGGGAUCUACUGGGAAUCUAACUCGUAGUCCCAAAGUAAGGAAACAAAACGGGGAGCUACCAGAAUCCCACAUCUGUAGUCCCAAUGUAAAUGGCGCAACCAAAACCAGGAGAUAUUCAGAAGGGAAGUACAAAAAAAAGACAAGCAACAUGUAGUACUAGCCUAACAUGUCUCACGUAGUGCAAAUAAGGAAAUUUAAGCAAGUAGGCGAGCUAAAUCAACUAAACAUGCCUUUAUAAUCUAACACAGUUAUAAUUGCAAGCGCGAUAAAGCAAGUACGAAAGAAACUCAGUCUCAAUAUAUUAAGUAAAAAUCGAAUUUUCAAUGAUUAGCUCAAGUACGUGCUCGUCCCUUCACAUACAAGGCACUCAAUUACCAAAUAAAUAUCAUAGGGGAAAGGUCCCCCAUACAAGGUUAGACAAGCCACUUACCUCAAACCGACUCCAAUUCAACUUGAAACCACAUGUUUGCCACGAAUACCCGACUCCAAAUGGCCCAAAUCUAUUCAUUUAAAUUAUAUAUCGUAAAUAACAUCUCAAAAAUUUGAUUAUACAAUUCAAUUUAAAGUAAGACGCAAAUUUUGGUAAAAUAACCAAAAUGCCCCUCAAUCCAACAUGGUCAAAACCCGAGGUUCAAAACAAAAUCUGACUACCCAUUCUCCCAUGAACUCAAAUAUAUGAUUUGAUUUGAAACCGGAUCUCAAAUUGAGGUCUAAAUCCCAAAAAUUUAGAAAAACUUAGGUUCUACCCUAAACCUCCAAUUUCACCCGUGAAAAUCAUUGAUUUUAAGUUGAAAAUAUGUUAAAUAAUGUUAAAAAUUGAAAGAAAUAAGUAAAAACAAACUUACAAACUAUUUGGAAGAGGUUUUGUUCUUGAAAAAUCGUCCAAAGGAGUGAUGUUUUGAAAAUGGGGUAAAAAAUGUCCAAAUUUCGACUAAGUAUAAAAACUGCAGGUUGCAAAUGUCGCAAUUACGAACCCCGACAUUUACUAGUAUGGAAAAUUCGAAACAGUGUUUGCAUUUGCGAACCCUUCCUAUUUUCAGGACCUUUGCACUUGCGAAGUGAGGGUCGCAUUUGCAACAUAACAAUCGUAUUUGCGAUCACUAGCAGCCUGAGCAUCUUUUGCAUUUGCGAAGAAAUGCUUGCAUUUGCGAGAAAGGAUGGCCUGGGCUUACUUCGAAAUUGUGAAGGGCCACUCGCAUUUGCGAUAUCGCAUUUGCGAGGCAAUGCAAAGCCUGCAGGCAAGUUCAUACCAGCAACUUUCAAGGAUAAAAUGUACUCCGACGCCUACCCAAAACUCACUCGAGCCCUCGUGGCUCCAAACCAAAUAUGCACACAACCUCAAAAAUAUAAUACGGACUUACUCGCGCAAUCAAAUCGCCAAAAUAACAUCAUAUAAAUCGAACUAAGCCUCAAAGCUCAUGAUUUCCUCCAAAUUUUCAUAAAACAUCAAAUUGCCAUUUUUAAGUUCAAACAUGUCAAACGACGUCCGUUUUCAACCAAACUUUACAGGAAGCGCUUAACCCAUAUAUAAGACUUGUAUCGGGAACCAAAACCAAUAUACGGGGGCGAUACCAUAAUAUUUUAAUCAAAUUUUACUUCCAAUUUCCUUACUUAUUUCCAGAAACCAAUUUCACCCAAAAAAUCAUUUCUCGGGCUUGGGAUCUCAAAAUUCGAUUUCGAGCAUACGCCCAAGUUGCAUAUUUUCCUACGGACCCUCCGGGACCAUCAAAUCACGGGUCCGGGUCUGUUAAUCUAAUAUAUUGACUGAAGUCAAAUUUAUCUAAUUUAGUAACAAAAUUUAGCAUUUUCUAACAGAAUCCAUAUCUAGCUUUUCGGCUAAGUGCCUGGGCUGCUCACAUAAAUCGAGGCAACCCCAGGUAAGGUUUUCAAGCCUCAGAAGUACAGAAUGGUAAGAAAACAAGUGAUGACCCCCUUGGGCUGUCACAUCCUCCACCACUAAAUAACCGUUUGUCCUCGAACGAACAAAAGAAAGAAGUACGUAAGUCAGGAAAAAGAUGAGGAUAACGGCUCCGCAUAUCAGGCUCAGACUCGCAGGUCGAUGCCUCAAGAGGAUGACCUCUCCAUUGGACCCAAACAGAAGGAAAUAUCUUGGACCUUAACUCAAAAUUCUGCUAGUCUAGGAUAGCUACCGGCUCCUCCUUAUAGUUCAAGUCCUUGUCCAACUGGACAGUGCUGAAAUCUAACACGUGGGCUGGAUUGCCGUGAUACAUCCAGAGCAUGGAUACAUGGAAAACUGGAUGCACGACUAAUAAUCUAGGCGGCAAUGUGAGUCUAUCAGCCACAUGUCCCACUCUAUCAAGAAUCUCAAACGGACCAAUGUACCUAGGGCUAAGCUUGCCUUCUUCCCAAAUCUUAUCACGCCCUUCAUAGGCGAUACUCAGAGCAAUAAUCGCUCACCAACCAUAAAUGCUACAUCUCGAACCUUGCGAUUUGCAUAACUCUUCUGCCUAGAGUGAGCUGAAUGAAGCCUGUCCUGAAUGAUCUUGACCUUGUCCUAGGCCUCCUGAACCAAAUAUGUACCUAGCAACCGAGCCUCCCCCGGCUCAAACCAUCUAACCGGAGAUCUAUGUUGGCUUGUCCCUUCUUAUUAUCCUUUUUCGAGAGAUGACAAUCACAGCUUUUGUGACCAACUUUUCCACAACUGUAGCAGCUGCCCUUGAAUUUCUUUUUGUUAUGCUCCUUAGUUUGUCCAGAAGACCUUUUCAUUUUCUUACUUUUUGGAGCAGUCCCCUCAACGAUGUUAGCUCCCAUGAUCAUUGAAUUUCCAUGAGACUUCUUCUCGGCUAUCUUGUUGUCUUCCUCAAAGUUUAGAUGUAUCACAAGAUCUUCCAACUUCAUUACUUUGCGCUUGUGCUUCAGAUAGUUCUUGAAAUCUCUCCACGAAUGAGGCAAUUUUUCAAUCAUAGCAGUUACCUGAAAUGCUUCAUACACGACCAUACCUUCAACACAAAGGUCGUGAAAAAUAAGUUGAAGCUCUUGAACUUGGGUUUCUACAGUUUUGUUGUCUAUCAUAUAGUCUAGAAACUUGGUACCCACGAACUUCUUCAAGCAUGUAUCUUCUAUCUUGUACUUCUUCUCAAGUGCAUCCAAUAAUUAUUUUGAAGUACUCAUCGCACUAUACACAUUGUAUAAAUCAUCCACUAAAGCACUUAAGAAAAUAAGUCUCCUUCCACACUUCAACAAUCAUGAACUUUUCAUUGUCCGGCAUAUUCGCAGCAGGUACUGGAUGCUCUUCACUAGUGAAUUUCUGCAUACCAAGUGUGAUAAGCCAGAAUAAUACCCUUUGUUGCCAUCCUUUGAAGUUGGCUCCAGAAAAUUUCUCGGUUUCUCGGCCUAAGGAACAACAAUGCGACUUUUACGAGGCUAUCGUUGUUGCACCAACAGUUGCAAAAGGAUUUCCGUUAUUAUUUGCCAUUUCUUACUGUCAAUAACAGAAGAGAUCAAUUAAUGAAAAAAGAAGAACAAUAAAUAAUAUUGUAAUCAAUAAACAAUACGUAAUAAAAAGCGCUGAAGUUUUUACAUACUGUUUUACAGAAAAACGAUGAAGUUUUUAUGUUCUUCAAAUUGUUUUCUGAAUUUUAAUACUCUGAUGAAGUUUUUAUAUCUUCAAAUCAGAAUAGUAAAACUCAGACAGAAUACAAAAAUAUAACAAAAUAUAAUUUCCUUAAGAUUGUUAUUAAUCUGUAUUGCUGUAAAUAAAUAAAAUAAUAAUAUUUCUUGAAAAAAAUAGAAAGUUAGUAGAAAUUAAAUUCCGAAAAUAGUAUUUGAACUCCUUCAAAGUAAUAGGAACAAAUCGAGCCCUCAUAAUACACAGUGUGUCCUUAAGAAAAUUAUUUCCCUCAAGUACCCGAGGUUCUGGGAUAUAUCCUCCUGAGAUAGAACAAUUUAACCCACCGGAAUGUUGGUACCAAAAACGCCAAUGAACAGUGAACCACUCGAAGGCUGCAAAACAUACUGGAAUUUUGUGUAGAAGAAGAAGAAGAUUAUCAGGAAAUUUCAUAAGUUAAUAUUAUGGGUUUUGAAGGCAUAUUUAUAACCAAUUUGAUAUUGUUUCUAAAAAAGUUUGCAACCUUUAAUAACAAUCAUAGCUGUUGUAAUAGGUAUGACAUUGUUUCAGAACAGCUAUAACUGUUGAAAAUAUUGCGGGAAAUUUAAAACAAAUUUAAAAUUAUUUGGUAAAAACUGACCUAACAGGAUCGGAUCGCCGGUCAGGGGUUAUUCCAGAUUGAAUUUUUGUUAAUUAACUUAAUUAAUCAGUUAAAUAUUUGCAAGUAAUUUUGUCCAAAAAAUUAAUCAAUCAAUCGUUGACCGAAGCCGAAGCGAAGCCGAGCCGAGCGAGCGAUAACGACGGCGCGAGGCUUGCUUUAUUCUUUUCUCUUUAAGAGCUGAAAGAUGAGCUUCUUUAUAUAUACACAUAUUUUUUUCCUUAUACCGAUGAGGGAUAAAGUGCAUUAGUGAAAUGAACUCAUCCAAAAUUUUACUUCCCUUUAUUUUUUCCCACCAUUUUCCAUUCACACAUCUUUUGUUAUUAAUAAAUAAUAACAAAACCGAAUAAUCCCACACAUGAAUAAGGAAUGGCUAUAAACUUAAAGGAAUGCACAGACGUGUGUGUGUUUUACAUGUAAGAAUUAAUUGCAUCUGGAUAAGUAGGUUUCCCUUUGAACUUUUUGUAGUGAACUUAUAUCGGAUAUACUCGGUCAAUAGGUAGAUUUGAUAUCUUUUAAUCGUCGAGCUUUAUUGUAUACCUAGACACAUAAGUCACACAAUCAAUCCUUAAUCACCUAUGGUUCUCACGGUUGUGUUCGUUUUAGCUAAAUACCGCCUGGUUUCAUGAGUGCUUAGAGAAUGAGCAUUUACUUUCAUUCUCCUUGAAGCGGCUUACACUUCACACUCACAUAGCUAAUUCUUAAACAUGUAGUCCUACACACUAUCUAGUCAUAUCCUACCAGACUUAGUAAAUCAUUAAAAAGCUUUAAGCUUUAUUGACUCAUCAAAAAGCCUUAAUGCUUUACCUUAUUUUUUUGAAUGUUGUCUUCAUCAUGAGAAUGUGCUGAGUUAUUUGACAAUAUUGAACCGUCAUUUAUAACUUUGUUGAUCUCUUUGAACCUAGAUCUUGUGAUCUCCAGUCUGCUAGAACACCAUAAUAACUUGUCCUAGGCCUUUUACCCCAUUCUCUUUGAUGAUCUUUCAACUGCCUCUCUAGAUAGGCCUUUUGUAAGUGGACCCGAUACGUUGUCUCUUGAUUUUACGUAAUCAAUUGUGAUAACACCACUAGAGAGUUGUUUUCUAAUGGUAUUGUGUCUCCGUCGAAUAUGUCAAAAUUUUGCGUUAUACUUAACAGUCUCUGCCCUACCUAUUGUUGCUUGACUAUUACAAUGUAUCCCACUCUUGCCAUCUUCUCUUAUAUCAUGUUCUAUAAUCACUUCCAUUCAAUUUCCCAUGAAACUAUACCUAUCUAAAGCUCAUAUGUGAUAAAAUCUCAAACAAUUCAACCCCAACAGCCCCAAAAAUUCCUUCUCUUACAUAUCACCAGUAUCAGGAAUGAACACUCCUUUUUCUCAGUACUUUUAAAACCCACAUUAGCUCCUUAAUUUAUCUUUUUGCCUUCUGUUUUCAUUCUAAGGAACCCAUUUUUGAGUAUGUUCAAAAACGGAGUUUCAUAGCUUUACCAACAAAAACUAAACUAAUUAUCCUUGUCUAUUCAUUGAUUUUUCUAUCCACCAAACUAUUUAGCCUUCCUACCAAUUUGUAGCUUUUGUCGGUAAUAGUUUCCUUUUUGUUCUCAUGUUCUUUUUUAUUUCUCUACCUUUUCUUUUUAUUUUCUUUCUUUUCUCCUUUUAAUUUUCUAGUUUUCUUUUCUGUUCAUAUAUCUUUUUUCGGAGCAUAUUAUUCUUUAUUUGCUUAUUCACUAUAAUCUGGUUUUAUACUCAAUCUGACUCGUUUCUUUUAAUUUUUCUUUCCUUUUGUUUAUAUAUUUAAUUUUGUGUUCCUUUUCAAAUUUCAUUCAACUUUUUUAAUUUCCUUUGUUUGCCCCAUAUUACUAUUUUGUACAAUGAGCAUUUUUAUGGAAAUCCAUCAGAAAAGUUAUUUAAAAAAGUAUUUGCAAGAACCUAGUUGGAAAAGUUUAAAAUGUUAAAUACUAAUUUAUUUAUUAUGGUAUGCUGUGAUAUUAUAUUGUAUACUAUAACAAUAUCAUUGUUAUAACCAUGACUUUAGCUUUUCACAAUAGCACCUAGAUGAUUCAAUAAAUAGCAAUCGAAGUAUACUAUUAUGGCAUAUUGUAUAGUAUUGCAGUAUAUUGCAUAUUACUAUAGUAUAUUGUAUAUUUUAAAAGUAUACUAUUGUAGUAUAGCCAUAUACUCUUACCAUAUAUUAUAUACCGUAGCGACAUACUGUUAGAUAAUCAUGUUCUUCUUCGAUUAUUACAGUAUACUGUAGUUUAUUGUAUGCUAUAAAGGGGCGUUUGGUUUGAUACAGCUUAUGCCAGGAAAGUUAUGCUGGGAUUAGUUGUGCUGGUAUUUUUUUAUCCGUUGUUUGGUAUGUUGUAUUAAAAAUAACAAGUGCAUAAUCUCUAAGAAGAAGGUAUAACUUACUCUGCUAAUAAUUAUCCCACCCCCUAGUUUGGUACUAAUUUUAAUUCCGAGAUAACUUAUACCAGGUUUUCUAACAAAACAAAGUAUUAAGGUGGUAUUAAAUUUUUAUACCAGCACUAUAUCGACUUAUACCUCAUACCAAACGAUCCCUAACAGUAUACUGUUGCAGUAUAGCUUUUGAUUUUUUAAACUAAAAUAAGCUUAAAAGAGGGUUAAUGGAAAAUUGGGGGAAAAUAAAAAUUUUAAGUUUCUUUCCUUGACAAAAGGACAUUAUCCCAUAUUGAAAGAGGAAAAGGAUUUCGAUGGGUAUAUAUACAAUUUUAUCUCUCAAAUAGUUAAAAAAACUCAAGCCUCAUGCCAUCGCCAUCAUCGUCAUAGCUCGCUCGGCUUCGGCUUCGAAUUCGGCAAAUGAUUGAUUGAUAAAUUUUUUGGACCAAAUUUAAUUGUUAAUAACAAAUAUUAACGUCAUAUUAUUAAAUAUCCGUGUUUGUAACGAAAAAUUAAUAAUCCAAAUUAUUCUUUUCAUUGACUCUGCCCGUCCAUUUUUUGUAAAGAAAAACAUUUCCUCUCCCCUUCUUAAUUUACGUAAAAGACCAUUUACGUUAUGUUCAUUUUACGUAACUAAAUUCUUUUUGUUUGAACUCAGCAGGUUGGGGCGAUAAACAAGUUGUCAAUUCUCUCAGAUUUUCCAUAAGAAUUUCUAAAUAUUUCUCCUUUCUUCUGCAUUAUUUUAACUACAAAAAAAGCAAUUGUAAGUGUGAUUUUCUACCAAUCAUUGUGUUCCCUGAAACACUGGGGUUUGAAGCACCACUACACCAGUAUGUAGUAACUCUGUUUAUAAUUAAUUUUUUGUAAUAAUUUUUUCAAUUAAUAAUAUGUAUAUAUAAUUCAUUUAAUUUAUCUUGAGAUAUUGUUGAUAUUAAGUAGGAUUUUACUAAUUUUAAUUUUUAAAAAAUCUUACAUAUACGCAACUAGUAUAAAAACUACUAAUAUUAUUCUACAAGAAAUAUAUGCAUUUGAAAAGAAUCAAGUCCACUUAUAUGUUAAGUAUAUAAAAUUAUCUAUUAGAAUAUUAACUUCUAAUUAUACUAUUUUUCUUAAUAGUUCUAAUUUCAAAUAUAAGUCUAAAUCGUCAAUAUCAACGGACUAUUAUGUCCUAAGGAACUCUCGAGGUUAAUGCAAUAUUUUUUACUUGCCCUACCCUAAGGCUGGCACUAGGUUUAAAAGCACAAAGAUGUUGAUGACUUAUGUGUUAUGCUUUUCGAAUGCAACCUGGUGAAAAUCUUAAAAAUUGGUGGACUGAUUAUGGAGCCACUUGUUAUGUUUGUACCGUUAGAUAAACGUUUGCUACAUAUGCUCCCGUUUGAUCCAAAGAAAUAUUUUCUAUGGGAAAUUCGUGCAAAGAUCAAAAUUGAAGGAUAUGAAAAGAUAUUUCUGAAGAUAACUUCUCACAAGGUAGUGACUCUUAACAACGUCCUUCAUAUUUAUGAGAUUAGGAAUAACUUAGUCUCUACUAGACUUCUCGUUAAGAAUGGGUUUAAAUGUAUUUUUGUGAUGACCCAACGAUCAUAUUCUGUUUUAGAACUCGAAUCCGUGUUCCGGGGAUUAAAAACCUCAUUUGAUAUCUCUUCGAUUUGCAUGCGCAGUUCGGGCAUGAUUUCGAAAAGCCUUUAUUUGGAAAAAUUAUGAUAUAAUAAAUUUUGGCCAAAAAAGUUAAUUUUAUUGACUUGAUCAAUAUUUUGGGUAAACGGAUAUGGACCCGUGUUCUGGCGGUCUCGAUAGGUCUGUAGUAUAAUAUGGGACCUGGGCGUAUGCCGGGAUUGAAUUCCAAGGUCCCUAGCCUGAGAAAUAAAUUUUUGAUGAAAAUUAUAAGACUUAAAUUAUAAUGGUUUUGAGAAAAUGGUUAGUAUGUGAUCUCGUUGGUAUCGGGUCUGUGUUUUAGUUUCGGAGCAUCGUAUAGGUCCGUUAUAAUAUUUAUAACUUAUCUGUAAAAUUUAUUGAGAAACUAAACUGAUUUGACGUGAUUCGGACCUUCAGUUGAGAAAAUAGAAGUUUUGAAAUUAUCUUGAAAAGUUCAUGCAAUUUAGUGCUAGAUUCGUAGUUAUAUGUGUUAUUUUGACAACUUGAUCGCACGAGCAAGUCUGUAUGAUAUUUUAAGACUUGUGUGUAUGUCUGGUUGGGAGCCCCGAGGGCUAGGGUGAGUAUCAGAUAGGCUAUGGAUUGAUUUAGACUAGGAAUUUUGCCGGUAUACUUCAGGUCUACAAACUUCACAUUUGCGAAGUCUGGAUUGAAAAUGUGAGCAUCAAUUUGUGAAGAAGUUUCGCAUUUGUGAUCUGAAGGGAUGGGAUGGGACCUUCGUAAUUGUGAAGCUCAGGAGAGCAAUUGCAAUAAGAAUAUGUCGCAUUUGCGAACAAUUGUUCGGAUUUGCGAUAGUAGCAGGUCCUGGACAUUCUUUGCAUUUGCGAAGGAAUUUUCACAUUUGCGGGGUUUGCAUAUGCAAACCCCUUAUUGCAAAUGUGAUAUCUGCAACUGUUCAAAAAUGAUUUUGGACGAAAUUUUUCAAUCAUUCUCUCAUUUCUCAAAACCUAAACCACAAGAGGCGAUUUUUCAAAGACCAUUUCUUCCCCAAAUCAUAUGUAAGUGAAUCUUAACUCAUUACUUUUAAUUUUUUUUUCUUCUUUUUACAAGGUUUCAUCAUAGAAUCAAGGGUUUUUCAUGGUGGAAUUGGGGAUUUUUGGGUAGAAAUUAAGGAUCCCAAAAUUUGGGGAAUUAGACCUCAAAUUAAGGCCGGAUUUCAAAACCAAUUGUAUAUUCGAGAUCUUGGAUGAAUGAGUAAUCAGGUUUUGGUACAAAUUUUAUAUUUUGACCAAGCAAGACCGGGGUCAGCUUUUGACUUUUUGGGAAAAAUUAUAAAUAUUCAUUGGAACUGAUUUUUUAGCAAUAAUUGAUGUUAUUAAGUUAAUUAUGACUAGAUACUAGUGGAUUGGAGGUUGAAUCUAAUGAAAAAGCGGUAAUUGAGCUUUGAGUUGGCCGUUGGCUUGAGAUAAGUGUUUGGUCUAACUUUGACUCUAGAGAUUAGGGAUCCCCGACAUAAUCUCUGUGUAAAAUUCCAUAUGUGUGGCGUAUAGGUGUGGUGACGAGUACCUAUGCACCGCAAAUUAUUUGUUUAGCUUGUUGCCUUCCUCGUUCCUAAUAUAUUGUCUUCAUGUCUUAACUGCUACAUGCUUAUUGGUGCGUCCAUGUCUAAUUGCGUCUUGUUAAAUGCUAUUUUCUUUACUAAAGGUAUUAAUUUUCCCAUUGUUUCACUGUUGUCACGACCCCAAAUCGGUUCGGUCGUGAUGGCGCCUCUCGUGAAGACAAGGCCAACCGACACAACACUCACAUUAAUCCUUUAAUCAUUAAAAGUCAUUUUUAAACCUUUAAUUAGAGCAAUAUUUUAUAAUAUAAAUUUGAAGGAAGCAGUGUAAAAUUAAUAUACAAGCCCAACAUCGGGUUAUCACUAGUCAUGAGCGACUAUCAAGGUCUGAAUACAACAAAACUCUAAAAAUAUACUCAGUACAUUAACUGCAAUGAGGGGAAAGAAAUGUGUUGCGAACAUCAUGCAUCCACCUUGCUAACUCUAAUGAUUUAGCGUCCAAGCAAUCCACACCCGCUGCCGGGUUUCUAUAUACCUGAAUAUGCACACGGGGUGUAGGGAGCAAUGUGAGUACUCCAACCCAGUAAGUUAUAUGAGUAAAUAAAGGCUGAGAAGUAGGAAACAAUGAAUCCACAUUCACGUCAGGCUCAAUAAACACAACAGGCUCAAGUGUUUCGUCUAACUAUGAAUCGAGGGAUUCGGGAUCCUCGACAUAAUCUCUAUGUGAAAUUUUGUGUGUGUGCCGUAUAGGUGUGGUGACGAGUACCUAUGCACCGCCAAAUUAUUUAUUUAGCUUGUUGCCUUCCUCGUUCCUAAUAUAUUGUCUUCAUGUCUUAACUGGUACAUGCUUAUUGGUGCGUCCAUGUCUAAUUGCGUCUUGUUAAAUGCUAUUUUCUUUACUAAAGGUGUUCAUUGUCCCGUUGUUUCAUUGUUGUCACAACCCCAAACUGAUCCGGUCAUGAUGAUACCUCUCGUGAAGACAAGGCCAGCCGACACAACAUUCACAUUAACCCUUUAAUAAUUAAGAGUCAUUUUAAACCUUUAAUUAAAACAAUAUUUCAUAAUAUAAAUCUGAAGGAAACAGUGCGGAAUUAAUAUACAAGCGCAACAUCGGGGUGUCUCUGGUCAUGAGCGACUAUCAAGGUCUAAAUACAACAAAAGUCUAAAAAUGUACUAAAUAGAGUAACUGCAAUGAGGGGAAAGAAAUGAUGUUGCGAACUUUAUGCAGCCACCUUGCUAACUCUAAUGACUACGCAUCUAAGCAAUCCACACCUGCUAGCGGGUUCGGAUAUACCUGAAUUUACUCACGGGAUGCAGGGAAUAAUGUGAGUACUCCAAUCUACUAAGUAAUAAGAGUAAAUAAAGGCUGAGCAGUAGGAAAUAAUGAAUCCACAUUCACGUUAGGAUCAAUAAACGCAAUAGGCUUUCAAAUCAUAAUACGAGUCAAUCUUCCCUUCUUUUUUUAAGAUCCACCUUUUAGUAAAAAAAUCAUUUUUGAAAUACUUUCCAGCAGUUUUGGUAGAGGUUCAAUACUAUUUAAAAUAAUAAUAGAGGUUAAAGUCAUAAUCGGCCCCUUAGGCUAAGCAUAGUUCGUAAAACUGGCCCUUGGGGAAAACAAUAAUCAUAAACACCACAUAACUAGAAAAUCUUAGUGGAAAUAACCAAUGCAAAAUCAGUGAUUAAUUUCUGAACACCUCAUAAACCCCAAUUUAAAUAAAAGUUAUUUUAAAAUAUUUGUUCAAAUUUCCGAUAGAGGCUCAAUAUAAAGAUGAGUGAAAACAAUCAAUAAAUCAACUUAUUCAGUCAUCAAUCUCACAAUCAGAACUUGGUCUAUCUUAGUAAAAUAGGGAACUCAGCCCAAAAGAGUUUCCACACUUUUAAGAAUAUAGUGAUAAAGCCAGAUUUCAGUAAUCAAUAGGUAAAACAUUAUUGAGGAUAUGCUUUCAAACAAGUAGAGUGAGAAAGAUAGUAAAAAUACCCCUAAGGGUCUCACCAAAUCGGCACUAAGCCCAAAACAUGGCAUACAAUCCAAAAUAUAAUAACAUCAAACAAUUAACUAUCAAAUACGCAUUAAAUAAUCGUUUGGGAUGAACUAAGUCACAAUCCCCAUCAGUGCUCUACCCCACGCUCGUCAUCUAGCGUGUAAGUCACCUCAAAGUAACACAACAACACGUAAUCCGGGGUUUCAAACCCUCAUGACAGUAUUUACAAUCAUUACUUACCUCAACCCGGCGAAAUCCCUAGAUCGUUGAUGCCUUUGUCCCUUAAACUAGCUCCACACGCGUCGAAUCUAUCCAAAAUCAGAACGAAUACAUCACAAUAUGCUAAGGGAACAAAGCCCUAGCAAAAACAAUCAAUAUCGGCACAAAUCCUGAAAUUACCAAAACCCGAGCACUGGGCCCAUUUCUUAAAACUUAGAAAUUUUUACAUCAACGGGUUCCUUAUCCUCCCACGAGUUCAUACAUAGCAAAAGUUCUAAAAUCCAUCCUCAAAUGGUCCGUCGAAUCCUAGUUCAUAAGUUCAAUUUCUCAAGCCCUAACUCUUCAACUUUAGGCUUAGUUUUUCAUGAUUUUCUUGGUGGAUUUCACAAUAAAACGAGUUUUAAGUUCAAAAAUCUUACCUCCAGGCAAUUCCUCUUGAGACCCUCUUCAAUCCUUUUUCAAAAAGCUCCAAAAUCGACCAACAAUGGAGGAACUUAGCCUCCAAUAUGUGGAAAUGGGCUUUUAAAACAUUCUGCCCAGCACUCAAUUUUUAUUUAAUCGCGAUGGAAAAGCCCUCCCGAUCACAAAGAACAACCCACAAUUACACAACGCAAUUGCCUACUCCCUCACACGAAUGUGAUGCUCAGAAUCUCCAAACUACGCGAUCGUGAAUGAUGAUAGGCGACUCCGAUUGACAGCAAUGCAAAACUACGCAAUCGCGACCCAAUUUAUGCGAAUGCAAAUAGAAUACCUGGAUGCCCCUAAAAAAAAUUUACGUGAUCGCAAAGAGGCAACAUCUGCAAUACAGUUGGAGCCAAAACCUACAAUUUUCCCAACAUGAAAUAGUCCGAUUGACCACCCGAAACUCACCCGAGGCCCUCGGAACCUCAACCAAACAUACCAACAUAAUCCAUAACAUCAUUCAAGCUUUAUCCAAUAAUAAAUAAACCUCAAACAACAUGAAAUUACUCAAAACUCAUCGAAUUCAAGCCUAAGUUUUCAAAAACUUCCGAAAUAUGCUUUCGAUCAAAAUCCCAACCAAAUCACGUCCGAAUGACUUGAAAUUUUGCACACACAUCACAAAAGACAUAAAAAAGCUACAUCAACUCUCGGAAUUCUAAUUUGAACCUCAGAAAAAAUCUUACCUACCAACCAAAAUUCGUCAAAAAUACUAACUUCGUCCAUUCAAGCCUAAUUCUACACUGGACCUCUAAAAUCAAUUCUGAUCACACUCCCAAAUCAUAAAUCACCCAAAAAAGCUAAUCAAAUAAUAAAAAUUCCAAUCUAAGAUCAUAUACAAAUAAGUAAACUCUUGGUCAAAUCUUUCAAAUACAAAACUCUCAACUGAGACUGUUCCUUUAUAUUCAUUUUUUAUUUUUUCUGAAAACCAAAACCAACGAUCUAUAUCAGCCACGGUACAUUAUAUGGGGCAAGUCGUGUUCAAGAAGUGGCGAUCAAAGUGCGAAAGCUCAACACGACUGGUCGAGUCGUUACAAUUGUAUUACAUUAUUGAUUUAAGUUAGUUUAUUGGUGCUUCAUGGUACAUUUCGGUUGGUCUCGCUGUGCGUAUUAAUUGAGUGAAGUUUCAUAAUUGUAUAGAUUUCUCCUUGCUUUGGUUUGAGGGUUAAAUAUUGUAGAAGGUUUUGGCCCAAAAUUCUAAAAUUUCUUUUCUUAUUGUGUGAUUUGUACUGAUAUGGUGGGAUUAGGUUGCAUGCCGCAACAAAAGGAAUAAGGGUGAUAUAUUGAGGAGGAAUAAGGGUGAUAUGUGAUUUUCUGGUGGGAUUGGGUUGCGCUCCGCAACAGGAGUAAUAAAGGGUAGAUUGGUUGGGUCAGGUUGUAUGCCACAACAAGAGGAAUACGGGUGAUAUAUUAAGGAGCAAUAAGGGGGUGCCUUACAUAUCCUUGCAUACCAUUUGCGACUAAGAGACCCUGAAUAUGUAAUGUCAUACCUUGGGAAUGGGCCGCAUUACAAGAUAAUGUGUGAAACAAAAUAUAAAAUUGAAUAGAGAUUAACGCUGACUAAAUAUUAACAUACAGCUGGGCCGGCAAGGCCGUCAUAACUACUACAGUUGACAAGCCAACACAACAAAUAAACAGGGUCUACAAGACCAACAUACUACAGUAACUGACAUGAUAUGUCGACAAGGCUCUACUGAUGGAUGUACUGUGAUACAGGGCCCCGACCUAUCCAUAACCUAUCUAUAUAUACACAAGAUGUACACAGAACUUCUAGACCCGGUAAAUCCAAAGAACGGGGAGCUUAUCGUUAACGCUGAACUCAAGCAACACAUACUGAUGAGGUAUACCCGUCUGUCUGUCUAAACCUGCAUGCAUGAAAUGCAGCCCCAAGAAAGGAACGCCAGUACGAAAUAAUGUACUGAGUAUGUAAGGCAAUAUACUGAAAGCCGAAAUUGAUUUGAUAAUAUAAUAACUGAAAGAAACUGGUGGUCAGAGAUAAUAUGAAUACAUGCUCAUCUGUUUUUCUCUCAAUAUAGUAAGUAAAUUAGAUGUCUGGCUUUACAAAGCUCUCUCUCUCUCUCUCUCUCUCUCUCUAUAUAUAUAUAUAUAUAUAUAUAUANNNNNNNNNNNNNNNNNNNNNNNNNNNNNNNNNNNNNNNNNNNNNNNNNNNNNNNNNNNNNNNNNNNNNNNNNNNNNNNNNNNNNNNNNNNNNNNNNNNNNNNNNNNNNNNNNNNNNNNNNNNNNNNNNNNNNNNNNNNNNNNNNNNNNNNNNNNNNNNNNNNNNNNNNNNNNNNNNNNNNNNNNNNNNNNNNNNNNNNNNNNNNNNNNNNNNNNNNNNNNNNNNNNNNNNNNNNNNNNNNNNNNNNNNNNNNNNNNNNNNNNNNNNNNNNNNNNNNNNNNNNNNNNNNNNNNNNNNNNNNNNNNNNNNNNNNNNNNNNNNNNNNNNNNNNNNNNNNNNNNNNNNNNNNNNNNNNNNNNNNNNNNNNNNNNNNNNNNNNNNNNNNNNNNNNNNNNNNNNNNNNNNNNNNNNNNNNNNNNNNNNNNNNNNNNNNNNNNNNNNNNNNNNNNNNUAUAUAUGUAUAUAUAUAUAUAUGUAUAUGUAUAACUGUUAUGCCAUAGUAGGCUUGCUCAUAGGCGCUCGGUCAUACUAGGCUUUGUAUCUUGACCAACUAGGCUCGCUCAUAGGCGUUCGGCUACAGUAAGCUCGGUGUAUUACUUACCAUAUGAUGGUUGCCCAAUAGGGGCUUGCCCAUCGAUUAUAGCUCGAUGGUAAUGAAGAUACUAUUAUACUGUAUAUAUAGACUCUCUGCUCUCUUGAGUGGAAGAAGGAAAUAUUCAAAUGAAUAUAAAUUCUCAAUAAAGAGAAUAUUUUAACUUACAAAACUAGUAAAAUAUAAGUAACUUGCGAUACUAGCAAAAUAUACGUAAAUUCCGGGAUAAGAAUUUUUCUUUAUGCCUCAUUAUCAAACUUGUGUAAUGACGAGAUCAUGCCAAAAUGGAGGAAAGGCUUAGCUUUAACAAACCUGGAGUAGGAAAAAAUCCGUAUGAUAUUCUUAGAAAAAGUUGUAUCGUACUUCUUUAGAACCGCAAAAUUUCUCUGUUGCUAAGACUAAAAAAAUUCUAGUUGGAAUUAUUGAAACUUGUAAAACAUCACAUUACUUAAGGUAUAAAAUUUGAUUUGGAGUGUUUUUGAGAAUAGAAAGUUGAAAACUUACAAAGAUGGCCUACGUUCCCUGCUUAUAAUUAAAAUGUUUUUGAUAUGGAAAGUCUUGGAAAUGCAAUGAACGUGUAACUAUAGGACACCUAAUAAGAAAUUACUCUUAGUCAUUUCUUUAGGGCGUGGCUUACUGAUACAUAUGAAUGGGGGAAUGUAAUCUUUAUCCACUUCACAUGUAAUUACGUAAUGCCCUGUUACCCGGUAAUUAAUCAAUUAUCCUCAUAAUUAAGAAUUAUCUUAAAUUACUUAAAAUUCUACUUAUUUGUGAUAAAAUUUGUACAUCAUACUAACAUGGUCAUAUGGUAUCUUGUAUGGUACUAGUCCAUAAAUAUCGAGUAUUAUCGCUCAGACUGUAGUUUAUCCCAAAUUGACAACCUUCAGCGAAACUCAUUUUCUCUAAUUCGUGUACCCUUUUAUACUUAAUGGCACUUACUUAUUGCUUGUUAUAAAUAGCACAAAUAUACUAACCUCACUAUAAUCUCAUCCCUAAGUCUACGUCAAUUUACUAAAGAUGAAACUUUAGCAUACGAAAAACGCAAGAUGUAACAGGUGGACAGGUGGGAUAGGGUUGCAUGCUACAACAAGAGUAAUAAGGGUGAAUGUUCAUAUUGUUACUGAUAAUAUGGCGGGAUCGAGAUGCAUGCCGCAUCAUUUUGAUGUUUAUGUGUUCUUCCUCGGAUAUAAUGUUAUUAUGUAGCAUUGUAACCCUCUUAAGGAUUGACUAUAGCUGAGUAAUUGCAAAUUUGAACUACGUAUUUAUUUUUUCUUCAAGUUAUUGUUCCAUUUCAUUCUGUCUUCCUUUUACUUUAUUAUAUACUGUAUGGAAGUUAUACAUCGUAGCCUCGCCAAUACCUCAUCGAGGUUAGGCUAGGCACUUAUCGGUACAUGGGGUUGGUUGUACUGAUACUCUAUGCUUUCUGUGCAAAUUUUGGAGCUGGUUGUGGCUUAUCGAGAGAUCAGUUGCAGAUACUUCAUCUGGGAGACCCAAGGUAGUCUUGCUGGCGUCUGCAAGCCCUAGCGUCCCCUCUUAUGUUUAUAGUUUCCUAUUUUUUUUUCUUUUGAGGUAGAUGUAAUUUCCUUCAGACCAGUAUUUAUAAUAAUUUGUAGUAUGUUCGUGGAUUGUGACACCAGUUUUUGGGUAGUAACAAUUUCGGUUCAGUUAAUAGUAUAUAUAAUAUGUUUAUUAUGUACUUUUGCAUUUAUUCCUGUUGAUUUGGCUUUGUAAAUUUUAACUAUAAAAAUGUAAGGAAAAAUGUCCUGUUUAUUAUGUACUUUCGCAUCUAUUCCUGUUGAUUUGGCUUUGUAAAUUUUAACUAUAAAAAUAUAAGGAAAAAUGUGAGUAUAACUUUAAUGUUGCCUUGCCUAGCGAGUGCGAAGUUAGGUGUCAUCACGGUCCCGACGAUGAAAAUCUGGAUCGUAAAAUUUUUUGUAUCUAAUAAGGUUGUAGUAAGUAAAAAUGGAAUAUUUGUAGGAAAAUGUUACCUCACUGAGGGUCUUUUCAAGCUGAAGGUAAUAGUCGUUGAGAAUAAUAAAAUUUGUACUAUGUUCGUGGAUUGUGACACCAGUUUUUGGGUAGUAACAAUUUCGGUUCAGUUAAUAGUAUAUAUAAUAUGUUUAUUAUGUACUUUUGCAUUUAUUCCUGUUGAUUUGGCUUUGUAAAUUUUAACUAUAAAAAUGUAAGGAAAAAUGUGAGUAUAACAUGUUGCCUUGCCUAGCGAGUGCGAAGUUAGGUGUCAUAACGGUCCCGACGGUGAAAAUCUGGAUCGUAAAUUUUUUUGAAUAAUAAGGUUGUAGUAAGUAAAAAUGGAAUAUUUAUAGGAAAAUGUUACCUCACUGAGGUCUUUUCAAGCUGAAGGUAUUAGUCGUUGUGAAUAAUAAAAUUUCAGCUUCUUCUUACUUGCUUGAGUCAAAUGAUUUAUGGCAUGUACGUUUGGGUCAUGUCAAUUAAAAAACCUUGCGGAAAAUGAUUAACUUGAAAGUAUUGCCUUAGUUUGAAUGCGACAAAUCAAAAUGUCAAAUAUGUGUGAAAUCUAAGUAUGUUAAACAUCCUUAUAAGUUAGUUGAAUGGAAUUCAAAUUCUUUAUACUUAAUUCACAUAGAUAUUUGCGAUAUGAAGUCAAUACCAUCCGCGGUGGAAAGAAUUAUUUCAUAACUUGUAUUGAUAAUAGUACUCGAUAUUGCUAUGUUUACUUAUUUAAUAGUAAAGAUAAAGCAAUAGAUGCAUUCAAGAAAUACAAAAAUGAAUUGAAACGCAACUUAACAAGAAAAUCAAAAUGAUAAGAAGUGAUAGGGAUGGUGAAUAUAAAUCUCUUUUGAAUAAAUAUAUUUCAGAUAUUUGCAACAUGAAGUCAAUACCAUCUCGCGGUGGAAAUAAUCAUUUCAUAACUUUUAUUGACGAUAACACUUGAUAUUUCUAUGUUUACUUACUUAAUAGUUAAGAUAAAGCAGUAGAUGCAUUCAAGCAAUACAAAAGUGAAGUUGAAACGUAACUUUAACGUACGAAAAAUGUGAGAUGUAACAUCAUUCCUCCCUUAGAAACAUUCGUCCUCAAAUGUCUACUCUUAGAUACUUUGGGAAUUUUCUUGCCAGAGUCUCUUCCGUACAUUAGACUAAAACCAACGUAUAUGUAGCCAGAAAAUAUACUAUACAUGCCAUACACGACCACUAUCUAUAAAUAGCAACACUUUUCUUCACACAACUGUCCAUCAUAAAUUAUGAGAGUCAAAAUGAGAGCUUACCUAAUGACUUACUAGCCUAAACAGAGUUGUGCUAAGGUAUCCCACCUCGAGCCAUAUCUUCAGUUUAAAAUAAGUGGGGGUAUUUAGACUUCAUUUCUUCCUCCGCUUCCCACAUCAUCUCUUUCACAUUCUUGCUUCUCCAUAUAACCUUCACAGAGGCUACCUCCUUAUUCCGUAGCUUGUGAAUUUAUCGGUCUAGGAUGGCAACUAGAAUUUUCCCAUAUGAUAAGUCCUAUGUAAUCUGUACAUAAUCCAUGUAGGAUCACCAAUGCACUUUCGUAACAUAGAUACGUGAAAAAACGGAUGGACAAACUCCAGUUCUGAGGGCAAUUCUAACUCAUAAGCUACUUGGCUCAUUCUCCGAAUGAUCCUAUAAGGCCCAAUAUACCGUGGGCUGAGUUUUCCUUUCUUUUCAAACCUCAUCCCACCUUUUAUAGGUGACACAUUUAAGAAUACCCAGUCAUUAACCCCGGACUCCAAAUCUCGUUGGCGCAUGUAAGAAUAUGACUUCUUAUGACUCUAAGCCGUCAACUGUCGCUCCCUCAUAAGCUUUACUUUUUCUGUGGAUUUUGAACUAGGUCCAGCCUAUGUAACCCAGAUUCUCCAACAUCAAACCACCCUAUAGGAUAUUUGCACUUAUGCACAUACAAAGCAUCGUACAAGGCCAUCUGGAUACUGUAGUGGUAACUGACAUACUCGUAACAUAUCCUUGAGCAUCUGAAUUGUGUGCUCGGCUUGUCCAUCGGUCUGUGGAUGAAAAGCUCUGUUGAGAUUCACCUGAGUCAGUAGACCUUUCUGAAAUGACCUCCAAAAAUAUAUUGUAAACUUGUCCCCAUGGUCAGAUAUAAUAGAUAUUGGAUCUCUGUGUAGUCGCACUAGCUCUUUAACAUAUAACUUUGCAUAAUAUUUCUAUUGUAUAUAUAGAUCUGACUCGUAGGAAAUGAGAUAAUUUCAUGAUCUUAUCAACUAUCACCCAUAUGGAAUCGAACUUAUGUGAUAACGAGGUAAACUCGUGAUAAAGUCCAUGUCGCCUCCCAUAUCCAUGUCAGAAUCUUUAUAGUCUACAUUAGCCCUCUGGGAUUCUGGUGUUCUAUCUUCACCUGUUGGCAACUAGGACACUGAGCGACAGACUCAGCAAUGUUCUUCUUCAUAUUGUUCCACCAAUACGCAUCCUUAAUGUUAUGAUACAUCUUCGUUGACCCAGGGUGAAAGGAGUACCACGAACAAUGUGCACCUGACAUAAUCUUGUCUCGUAGCCAUACUAUAUCUGGAACACAUAAAAGACCCAUAUAUUUAAGAAUUCCAUCUCCCUUGGGUUCUCACGACGGGUUCUUUUGCUGUGGAACUCGCUCUCUCAGCUCGACCUACACUGGGUCCUCGUACCGCCUCUCCUUUACUUCAACUAUGAGAGAUGAUUUUGUAGUAUUUUGGAGUACAACUCCACCGUUGCCAGAGUCUACUAACUGAACCUCCAAACAAGCCAAUUGAUGAAUCUCUCUAGUUAAUUAUCUUUUUUGGUAUCUACAUGUGCUAAGCAACCCAUAGAUCGGCAACUUAAGGCAUCUACAACAACAUUAGCUUUCCCUGGAUGGUAGAGAAUGUUAAGAUUGUAAUAUUUCAAUAAUUCAAGCCAUCGCCUCUAUCGGAAAUUCAACUCUUUUUGCUUGAAAACAUACUAUAAGAUUUUAUGAUAUGUGAAUACAUCAACAUGAACACCAUAUAAAUAAUGCCGCCAUAUCUUAAGUGCAUGGACAACCGCAACUAACUCGAGGUCAUGGGUAGGAUAAUUCUGUUCGUGCUUCCUUAGAUGCCUUGAAGAAUACAUAAUUCCCUUCCCAUGUUGCAUCAGGAUGCAUCCUAACCCGAUACAUGAGGCAUCACAAUACAUAGCAUAACCAUCUGGACUUUUUGGAAGUGCUAGAACUGGUGUUGAGGUCAACUUGUUCUUAAGCUCUUGGAAACUCUGCUCACAGGCCUUUGUCCACCGAAACUUACUUACUUUCUGUGUAAACUUUGUUAAUGGUGCUAAAAGAGAAACAAACCCCUCUAUGAACCUUUGGAAGUAUCCUGCUAAGCCUAGAAAGCUAAGAACCUCUAUUGGGGUGGUAGGUCUAGGCCAAGAUUUCACAACCUUAAUCUUCUUAUUGUCUACCUUUAUUCCUCAUCAGAUACAAUAUGCCCUAAGAACGCUAUAAACCUCAACCAUAACUCACAUUUAGAAAACGUACCAUAUAAUUUACUAUCACAGAGGGUUUAGAGCAUCACUCGUAGGUGUUCUGCAUGCCCAUCAUCUGAAUGUGAAUAAACUAGAAUAUCAUCAAUAAAUACUAUCACGAACAGAUUUAAAUAUGGCCGGAAUAGGCUAUUCAUUAAGUCCAUAAAUAUGGCAUGUGUAUUCGUCAACCCGAAGGACAUACAAGGAACUCAAAGUGGCUAUAUCGAGUCCUGAAGGUUUCUUGGGAAUAUCUUUCUUCCGAACUCUUACCUGGUGGUAUCCCGACCUCAAAUCUAUUUUUGAAAAAUAUCUAGCUCCCUGCAACUGAUUAAACAAGUCAUAUAUCCUUGAAAGUGGAUACUUAUUCUUAAUAGUUACCUUGUUCAGUUGCUUAUAAUCGAUACACAUCCUCAGCGAGCCGUCUUUUUUCCGUACAAACAAUACUGGUGCACUCCAAGGUAAGGCACUAGGUCUGAUAAUCUCCAAAAAAAAAUUUAACUGCCAGUUCAACUCCUUCAAUUUGGAAGGUGCCAUUCUAUAUGGAGGGAUGUAUAAUGGUGGUGUUCCGGGUAGCAAAUCUAUGCCAAAAUCAAUCUCUCGCGUUGGAGGAAUACUUAGAAGUUCAUAUGGAAUUACAUCCACGUACUCCUUUAAAACAGGAAUAGACUGGAGUGUAGGUAUCUCAACAUCUACAUCUCUAAAUCGUACAAUAUGAUAGAUGCACCGUUUUGCAAUCAUUUUCCUUGCCUUCAGUUAGGAAAUAAACCUACCCCUAGGUGUCGCUGUAUUACCUACCCAUUCAAGGACUAGCUCACCCAGAAAAUGAAAUCCGGCUAUCUUUGCUCGACAAUCAAUUGUGGCAUAACAAGCUACCAACCAUCCCAUGCCUAUGAUAAUAUCAAAAUCCAACAUCUCUAGAUCAUCAACUAGGUUGGCUAAGGUUUGACGACCACAAACGGUUACCGUACAACAUCGGUAAACCAGUCUAGCGACAAUUCAUUCUUUGAUCGGUAUAGAUACCGCAAAAAGGAUCACGUAGUAUUUCAGGAACUAUACCAAAUGUCCUCGCGACAAAUGGGGUAAGACAUGAUAAAGUAGAUCUUGUGUCUAUCAAGGCAUAAAUAUCGUGAGAACAAAUGGUCAACAUAGCUAUCACAACCUUUGGUGAGGACUCUUGGUUCUGGUUACCACCUGAACUGGAACUUCUACCUUUGCCUCGACCUCUACCAGCCGAAGACUAAGACUCGUGCCUUGAAAGAAGCAUGGGCAUAGAUGAUCAUGUUGUUGAAUUCGCUGGUUAUGCCAUACCCCUAGAAUCUAUAUUUGGGCAAUCUCGCAUCAUAUGCCCCAGAUGUUCAUAUGUAUAAAAAGCAUCAGAACCAGCUCAGCAUGGCUCAAGUGUCCUCUACCAUAGAUGGCACACCGUGGAGGAAAUGGCUAUGUCUACCUUGAACCUCCUUAUUGCUAUAACCCGAUGCCUGGGAGCUCCUACCUGGUCCUGACUGAGUGUAGUUGUCAUACCUAUAACCCUGUAGCUGAGGUAGCUAAGGUCUAGGUGGCCAUUCAAAGUACUGGGGCCUGUAACUACCCUAAAACUGCUCCCGAGACCUGGAAAAUCUCAUCUUCUUACACUGCUUUGAGUCAUUCCUCUCCGUACCUUGCUGUAGAUGCCUACCCCUUUCUAUAUUCUGGGAAAAUGCUUGAAUCUGAGAGAUAUCCAUACUAUCAUAUAAUGUGCCUCGGUCAAGUAUGGGGCCAACCCUACCAUAAAUAUGUGGGUUUUAUCCCGCAUAGUAGCAACUAUGAAUGGUGCAUAUCUGGUCAAUGAGUCAAAACGGAGACUAUACUGUCGAACACUAAUAUUUCCCGCUUAAGGGCUAAACAUUGAUUGACUCGGGCCUGUCAGAUCUCUCGCAUUAAGUAAUAGCCAAGAAAGGCAUCUGAAAAAUUCUCCCAAAUAGCCGGAGGUGCAUCACAUCCCCUAGACCUUUCCCAUCCCUCGUACCAAAGGAUGGAUAUAUCUUGGAGUCAAAAAGGUACUAGCUCAACUGCCUCUUUCUACGUGGCAUGCAUAACCCAAAAGAUCAUGUAGAGUUGAUCUAUGAAGUCCUAUGGGUCUUCCCUCUGAUCUAUCCCUGUGAACUCUGGGAGACUCAAAGCAAUAAACUCUUGGAUUUUUGAACUCCCAGACCCCUCAGAAGGUCCUGCACUAGAGGAUGCCCUAGUCUGUUGCUGGGUAGCUACCAACUGUGCCAACAAAUGCACCGCCACUUCUCAAGUCCUGAUAUGAUGGAGGCGGUGGGGGAACUAGAUGUGCGGUCUCCUUAGGAAUCUUCUCAAGUGGUAGAGGAGCAAGUAAUGGCUAAGUAGGGCUCUCUCUAUAGGCCUCAUAUGGGGCCCUAUCUACUAGGGGUACCCUACUAGUCCCCUUACCUGCUGUUGUAUCUCUCCUCUGGCUAGCCGUAGUCUUCCUAAUUACCUUCAUCUAUGCAUGCAAAUGCCAACACAUAACCUUAACUCAAAUUUCCUAUAACUCGGUGCUACAACACGAUUUAGAUUUGAAAGAAAGGUAGUCAACUCUGAUAUGCCAUGUAGUCCCCUAAUUAUAAAAAGUAGUGCACCACACAUCUAUAAACAAGACCCUACUAAAUACUACUUGUAGAUUUCCUAGGACAGAAUUGCUCUGAUACCAUUUUUAUCAUGCCCCGAGCCUGGGGCGAGACCGGCACUAGGUCCCUUACCUAUCCUUGCAUACCACUUGCAACUAAGAGACCCUAAACAUGUAAUGUCAUACCUUGGCCAUGGGCCACAUUACAUGAUAAUGUGAGAAUCAAAAUAUAAAAUUGAAUAGAGAUUAACGCUAACUAAAUGUCAACAUACAUCUGGGCCGGCAAGGUCGUCAUAAUAAUAAAACAUAUAUACAGGGCAUACAAGACCAACAUACUGCACUAACUGACAGGAUAUGUCUACAAGCCUCUACUGAUGGAUGUACUGUGAUCGGAACAGUGCCCCAACCUACCUAUAACCUAUCUACAUAUAUACACAAGAUGUACACAAAAUUUCUAGACCCGAUAACUCCAAAGAAAGGGGAGCUUACCGAUAAUGCUAAACUCGGGAAACACCUACUGAGGAGGUUUACCCAUCUGUCUGUUUGAACCUGCACGCAUGAAAUGCAGUGCCCAUAGAAAGGGACGUCAGUACGAAAUAAUGUACCGAGUAUGUAAGGCAAUAUAUUGAAAGCUAAAACUAAUUUGAUAAUAUAAUAACUAAAAGCAACUGAGAGUCAAAGAUAAUAUGAUGAUAUGCUCAUCUAUUGUUCUCUCAAUAUAGUAAGUAAAAUAGAUGUCCGGCCUUAUAAGGCUUAAUGUGUGUGUGUGUAUAUAUAUAUAUAUAUAUAUAUAUAUAUAUAUAAAUCGGUGAUUUUGUUAGGUUGAUUUUGAGUCAAUUUUCACCAACCCGAUUCAGGAUGAUUUGUAUUUGCAAGUCAAGAAAUCGAGAUAAUGGAUUUCUUAACCAAUAUCGGGGUUUCUUCGAUUUCUUAUUUGGCUUUUUUUGUAGGGGGGUGGGGGGUGUUUCAGGUAAUUUCUUAACCAUUGUUAUUGCUUGUUUCUUUAUGUUCCUGACAAUGAAGAUGAUGAUAGAAAAAAAUAAGGGAAAAAAUAUAUAUGUGGCGAUAAAAUGAGGCUUCAGAUACUUUUUCUUAUUAUUUACGUGCGUACUUUUGGUUUAAAAAACACUCUUGUCAUGGAUCAAAUGACAUGUUAUUGACACAUUUUAAAAGGUUUAGUGUGUAAUGUUAAACCCGUGAUCAACAUGUGUGUAUUAGAGAAGUAGGUACAAGGUGGAUGGGUAAAAAAUAUUUUAUGUCAUUUUACAAAGAAGGGGAUGACUUAAAUGACUAGGCUCUGUAUCUCAACCAAAUGGGCCGCUCAUAGGCGCUCGGCCACAGUAAGCUCGAUAUAUUACUUACCAUCUGAUCAGAGAUUUCCUAAUAGGGGUCUGCCCAUCGAUUAUAGCUCGAUGGUAAUGAAAAUACUAUGCUACUGUAUAUAUAUACUCUCUUUUCUCUUGACUAGAAGAAGGAAAUACUCACAUGAAUAUAAAGUCCCGAUAAAGAGAAUAUUGUAACUUAGAAAACUAGAAAAAUAUACGUAACUUGCGAGACUAGCAAAAUAUACAUAAAUUUCAAGAUAUGAAUUUUUCUUUAUGCCUCAUUAUUAAACUUGUGUAAUGACGAGAUCAUGCCAAAAUAAAGGAAAGGCUUAGCCUUAACAUACCUAGAGUGGGAAAAAAUCUAUAUGAUAUUUUUGGAAAAAGUUGCAUCAUACUUCUUUAGAACCACAAAAUUUCUCCGUUGUUAAGACUCUAAAAAUUCUAGUUUGAAUUGUUGAAACUUGUAAAAGAUCACAUUGCUUAAGGUAUACAAUUCGAUUUGGAGUGUUUCGCAGAAUGGAAGGUUGAAAACUUACAAACAUGACCAACGUUCCCCACUUCUAGUUAAAUUAUUUUUGAUAUGGAAAGUCUUGGAAAUGUAAUGAAUGUGUAAGUAUAUGACACCUUAAGAAAUGACUCUUAGUAAUUUCUUUUAGGGUGUAUCUUACUUCCACAUGGGGAUGUGUCACGACUCUAAACCUGGACCUGAGCGUGAUAGCACCUCUCGUGAAGAUAAGACCAACUGACUCUUCCCAUUUUAGUAAUUACUAGUUAAACAGUAAGAGACUGUCUAAAGCAAGAUGAAAUAAUCAAAAGUUUAAGAAGAAAAUAGCAUAAUAUGCGGAAUACAACCUAACACAGCCCGAUUCCGGGGUGUCACUAGUCAUGAGCAUCUAACCAAUAUGGAAUACUCAAGGAAGUCUACAGAGUUUAAUACAAAAACGAAGAGCAUGAAGAAAUAAGAUAGGUAUGAAGCUCCGUGCUACGAACACCAACAGCUACCUAGAGACUCAUCGGAUCCGCCUUAGCUGGAAAAGGAUCAGCACUCGCGAGCCGGACCAGAUACGCCUGAAUCUACACAUGGAUUGCAUGGAUUAAAGUGAACACUUCAACUCAGUGAGAAUAAUCAUAAAUAAAGACUAAGCAUAAAAAACAUAAGGCACAUUACCGGCAAUAGUGAAGCAGUAAAACAAGUAAAAAUAGUAACUCGGUAAAAAUAUCAGAAAAACAUUUUGUUCAACUUAAACUUCAUAAAAAGAAUUUCCAACAAUUAAACAUACAGGUUUGUCCCUCGGACACAGUAUCAACAAAUCCUCCCCUCGGGCAAUAUCUCGAAACAAUACCAGCCCCUCGGGCUACAUCUCAAAUACAUGUGUACACUCGCUCACUGGGGGUAUGCAGACUCCUGGAGGGGCCCCUUAUGUCCCAAGCGCAGUAUCAAGCCAUUUCGUGGCAUCAUUACUAGGCCCUCGGCCUCAUAUCAAUCAAGCCACCUCGUGGCGUACGUAUCUCAGGCCCUCGGCCUCAAAUCAUGAUAAGUGUUUCCUCACAACAUAGGCCCUCGGCCUUACUCAGUCAAAUAUCCUCACAAGCUACUCGGUUGUAAUUAAACAUGAUUUCUCAGCCCAAUUAUCAUUUAAAAGAUCACAAAAGUGUUAAAACAUAGUAAACAUGGCUGAGUAUGAAAACAAAAAAAUAGAUCAUGAUUGAGUUCAAGCAUAAAAUCAAAACAAUGGGAAAAUAUAAAUAAAAAUCCCCGAAGGGGUUCAAAUAUUUGGCGCGAGGCCCAGAUAUAGCAUUCAACCCAAAUAAUGAUGAUAGCAAAUAGAUUUCAGUCAAAUAUGCGAUAAAAUAGUCAUUUGAGAUAGACCAAGUCACAAUCCCUAACAGUUUACGACCACACGCUCGUCAUCAAACCUGUAUGUCUUGUCACCUCAAUAUAGCACAACAAUGUAAAAAUCGAGGGUUUCAUACCCUCAUAAAACCAUUUACAAUCAUUACUCACCUCAAACAGGUCAAUUUUGUCACGAAACGGAUUUACUCACCAUCGGGAGUCGUGAUGACGCCUACUGUCGAAGCUAGGCAAGCCAACCCUUAUAAUCAUUUUCACAAAACUUAAUCUAAAAUAAGUUAAAUACUAGAAUAAUUAAUUAAAGCAUGCGGAAGUCUUUUAAUAACAAUAACGAAUACAAGGUACGGAAAACUAACAACCUGUCUCUACCUAGUAUCUGGUGUCACUGCUCACGGACGACUAAAAGAGUACUAAAAACAACAGUCUAAAAUAAAUACAUAAUAUGUCUGUUUGAUACAAUUAAACAAAUUGAAAGAAAUAGAUAGAGGAGACUCGGGGCCCGCGAACGCCAGCGAACUACCUCAGAGCCUCUGGAUAAAUACAUAAUAUGUAUGUUUGAUACAAUUAAACAAACUAAAAGAAAUAGAUAGAGGAGACUCGGGACCCGCGAACGCCAGUAAACUACCUCAGAGCCUCUCGGCUGAAGGAUCACUCCCGAACUAUAGCUGCGGUCCGUAGGCUGGGUCCUGACUUGUGCACAAAAGGCACAAAAGCGUAGUAUCAGCACAACCGACCCCAUGUGCUGGUAAAUGCCCGGCCUAACCCCGGUGAGGUAGUGACGAAGCUAAACCGGACCUACCACAAUCAACCUGUACAGAUGUAUGUGCAGUAACAGAAAAUAACAAAUUCUAAACAGAUAGUUGGAAGGGGACACGCUGGGGGUGUAGCAGUUCAAUUAUCUAAUCAUCAACAACAAGGAAAUGGAAACAGUAUAACAAACACCAAUAUGAGAAAGACCGUAAGACAAACGUUGCACGGCACCACCCAUCGUGCUCUUACUCUCGUUCUCACCAAGAUAAUCCAUCACAGUGUACGGUAUCACCCAUCGUACUUUAUCACUCAUCCUCAUCCAAUCAAUAGUAUGGAGUAGCUCAAUGAUUACAAGCAUCUACAGUGGAUGGCGCGCCACACGCUCCCGUAUUCUCUAUGCACAAUGUCACCAGCAUCUCAGGCCAAAAACAAUAGGUGGACGGCGUGCCACACGAUCCCAUAAUAAAUGUCAUCGGCAUCUCAUGCCAAUAAUAAUAGGUGGACGGCAUGCCACACGAUCCCAUAAUAAAUAUCUCGUGGUCGGCGUGCCAUACGAUCCCAAUAUGUAAUGCAAUUGAAUAAUUCGAACAAUCUCUUUACAGAAUAUCCCGAUAGGGAAGCACAUCAAUAUAACAGUCUAACCCGGCAAGGGUACAGCUAACAGCCCAAAAUAUCCUGGCAAGGGGAGAACAACUCCAAAAUAAGUCCCGGCAAGGGAAAACGAUUCAACAACAAAUCCCGGCAAGGGAAAACACCAUAAUUCCUUCCUUAACUCAUUUUCUUCUCAACUAUCAUUUCACAGUUCGUUUAACAAGUAAUUAUCACAAUUGUUCACUUCUUUCGACAAUUUAAUAGCAAUUAUGACUCACGGUCAUGCUAGACUUAGGCACAUAGGUCCUAUACACCGACUCCACAUAGCACAUAGAAAAUAUUAACCUAAUCAUAUUCCCUCAAGCCAAAGUUAGAUCGAACACUUACCUCGAAAGCAUCCAACUCAACUCACGCUUCUAGAAUAUCUUUACCCCUCGAAUUCACUUCAAAACCGAUCGAAUCUAACCACAAUUUACUCAAAUGUAUCAACAAAUGCUAGUUAAAUCAAUUUGAAUGCAUAAGAAUGAAAUUCUCAAACUUUUAUCCAAAAAUUUCCAAAACGCCCCCGGGCCCAUGUGUUCAAAACCCGAGGUUCGAACCAAAAUCGGAUUUCCCAUUCCCCCACGAGUUCAUAUAUGCACUUUGUUUUCAAAUCGGGACGCAAAUUGAGGUCCAAAUCCUCAAUUUUAUGAAAACCUAGGUUAUACCCCAAAUCCCCCAUUUUAAUCAUGAAAGCUUUGAUUUAAGGAUGAAAUCAUGUUAGAAGAUGAUAAAGAUUGAAGAAAACUAGNNNNNNNNNNNNNNNNNNNNNNNNNNNNNNNNNNNNNNNNNNNNNNNNNNNNNNNNNNNNNNNNNNNNNNNNNNNNNNNNNNNNNNNNNNNNNNNNNNNNNNNNNNNNNNNNNCGCCUAUGGUGAUUUUGGGUUUUGAAAGAUAUGAAAAGUGAGGUUUAAAUUCGUUUAAGAAUCAGUUGCAGGGGUGCAGAUGUCGCAAAUGCGGUAUUGACUUCGCAUAAGUGAACUGGGGUAAAAUGAAAGGGACCUCGCAAUUGCGAGAAAAUAGUUCACAAUUGCGAACUGGGCAGGGAAAGGGGGGAAACUCGCAUUUGUGAGAAAAGGUUCGCAAAUGCGAACAUAGGCUUGGGCUAGGGAAACUCGCAUUUGUGAGAUUGGACUUCGCAUUUGCGAAGUCUGGUUACAAAGGGGGAGGAUCGCAAUUGCGAAUGAGAUUUCGCAUUUCUGAAGGCUGGCCAACCAAGGGAGGGUCGCAUUUGCGAGCUAAGUCUUCGCAAUUGCAAAGACUGCAGACACCAACAGUGGAAAUGCAACAAAAUGAGCCUAACACCUACCUGNNNNNNNNNNNNNNNNNNNNNNNNNNNNNNNNNNNNNNNNNNNNNNNNNNNNNNNNNNNNNNNNNNNNNNNNNNNNNNNUGAAACUCACCUGAGCCCUCGGGGCUCCAACCCAAACAUGCACCCAACCUCUAAAUCGCCAAAAUAACAUCUAAGUCAAAGAAUCAACCUCCAAAACUUAUGAUUUUCAUUUCAAGUUAAAUACUUUAAAACUUUUUGGCUUUUAGUCCGAAACACGUCAAACGAUGUUCGUUUUCAACCAAACUUUACAGGUAGCGCUUAAUGCCCAUUUAAGACUUGUACCGGGUUUUUGAACCAAAAUGCGAGCCCAAUACCAUCACUUUUGAUCAAAAUUUCAUUUCCAUUUACCUUAAGCAUUUUCAAAAAUAAUCACAUAAAAGCUCCGUACUCGGGCCUGGGACCUUGGAUUUCGAUUUUGCAAAUACGCCCGGGUCCCAAAUUUCAUUACGGACCCUCCCGGACCGUCACAUCACGGGUCCGGGUCCGUUUACCCAAAACAUUGACCAUAGUCAAAUAUAGCAAUCUUAGUAUCAAAAUUCAUAGUUUUAACAUAGAAUUUAAAUAUUUUCACAUUAAAAUCUUCUGGCUACGCACCCGGACUACGCACGUAAAUUGAGGCAACCAAAUAAGAGGUUUUCAAGGCCUCAGAAGCACAAGGAAAUGGAGAAUUAUAGUGAUGAACCUUUGGGUCGUCACUUCCUCCACCUCUAUAACAAUCAUUCGUCCUCAAACGGACAAAAGAAAUGAGUACUUGAGUCGGGGAAUAGAUGGGGAUAAUAGCUCCGCAUAUCAAACUCAGACUCCCAGGUCGAUGCCUCAGGAGGCUGACCUCUCCACUAAACUCGCACUAAAGGAAACUCUGCGACCUCAACUGUCGGUCUAAAAUAGCCACCGGCUCCUCCUCAUAUGACAGAUCCUUGUCCAAUAGGACAGUGCUGAAAUCUAACACGUGGGUGGGAUCACCGUGAUACUUCCGAAGCAUGGAUGCAUGGAAAACCGGAUGCAUAACUAACAAGCUAGGUGGCAACGACUGCCUAUAAGCCACAUUCCCCAUACGGUCCAGAAUCUCAAACGGGCCAAUAUACCUAGGGCUAAGCUUGCCCUUCUUCCCAAACCUNNNNNNNNNNNNNNNNNNNNNNNNNNNNNNNNNNNNNNNNNNNNNNNNNNNNNNNNNNNNNNNNNNNNNNNNNNNNNNNNCCUAGGGCUAAGAUUGCCCUUUUUCCCAAACCUCACCACGCCAUUCAUAGGCAAUACACGAAGGAACACUCGCUCACUAACCAUGAAAGCAACAUCCCUGACCUUACGAUCUGCAACACUUUUCUGCCUGGACUGAGAUGACCGAAGUAUGUCCUGAAUGAUCUUGACCUUAUCCAAGGCCUCCUACACCAAAUUUUUACCUAACAACCGAGCCUCUCCAGGCUCAAAAUCAUUCAACUGGGGACUGACACCUCCUACCAUACAACGCCUCAUACGGGGCCAUCUGAAUACUGGACUGGUAGCUGUUGUUGUAGGCNNNNNNNNNNNNNNNNNNNNNNNNNNNNNNNNNNNNNNNNNNNNNNNNNNNNNNNNNNNNNNNNNNNNNNNNNNNNNNNNNNNNNNNNNNNNNNNNNNNNNGGCAGGUGGACUGGUAGCUGUUGUUGUAGGCAAACUCCGCUAACGGGAAGAAAUAGUCCCACGAGCCUCCAAAAUCAAUAACGCAGGCUCUAAGCAUAUCCUCAAGAAUCUGAAUGGUCCUCUCGGACUGACCGUCCAUCUGGGGGUGAAAUGUUGUACUCAACUGGACCUGGGUACCCAACUCAUGUUGCACCGCUCUCCAGAAAUGCGAGGUAAACUGCGGACCCCGAUCUAAAUUAAUAGAUAUGGGCACCCCAUGUAGGCGAACGAUCUCCCUGAUAUAAAUCUCUGCAUACCUCUCGGAUGAAUAGGUGGUGGCAAUCGGGAUGAAAUGCGCUGACUUAGUCAGCCUAUCAAUAAUAACCCAUAUAACAUCAAACUUCUUCCGAGUCAUCGGAAGGCCAGUAACAAAUUCCAUGGUGAUUCUCUCCCACUUCCACUCGGGAAGCUCAAUCCUCUGAAAUAAUCCACCGAUCCUCUAAUGCUCGCACUGACGUGCUGACAAUUUAGACAACGAGCCACAUAUGCAAUAAUGUCUUUCUUCAUUCUAUGCCACCAAUAAUGCUAUCUCAAACCCUGAUGAAUCUUCGCAACGCCCGGAUGAAUAGAAUACCGAGAACUGUGGGCCUUCGCUAAGAUCGAAUCUCGAAUACCAUCAACAUUGGGUGCACAAACUCGCCCCUGCAACCUCAAUAUGCCAUCAUAUCCAAAAGUCAUCUCCUAGGCACCUCCCCUCUACACCAUGUCUCUCAGGACACACAAAUGGGGGUCAUCAAACUGCCGCUCCCGGAUAUGCUCCAUGAGUGACGAGCGAGCAACUGUACAAGCUAACACCCUGCUGGGCUCAAAAAUAUCCAAUCUCACCAAUCUAUUGGCCAAGGCCUGAACAUCCAAGGCAAGCGGUCUCUGGCUUACCGGAAUAUAUGCAAGACUACCCAUGCUGGCGGACUUUCUACUCAAGGUAUCGGCCAACACAUUGGCCUUCCCUGGGUGGUAUAAAAUAGAAACAUCAUAAUCUUUCAACAACUCCAACGGACUUUCUACUCAAGGUAUCGGCCAACACAUUGGCCUUCCCUGGGUGGUAUAAAAUAGAAACAUCGUAAUCUUUCAACAACUCCAACCACUUCCGCUGUCUCAAAUUCAACUCUUUUUGCUUGAACAAGUACUGAAGGCUCUUGUGAUCCGCGUACACCUCACACGUCACACCACACAAAUAAUGCCUCCAGAUAUUCAAGGCAUGAACAAUGGCUGCCAACUCUAAGUCAUGAACUGGAUAAUUCUUCUUAUGGACCUUCAACUACCUCAAAGCAUAUGUUAUGACCCUGCUACUCUACAUAGACACUGCGCCAAGCCCAACCCGAAAAGCAAUACAAUAAACCGUAUAAGGUCCUGAUUCCGUAGGCAAAAAUCAAUUCCGGUGCGCCCCAAGGCGAAACUCUGGGCCUAACGAAACCCUUAUCAAGCAAAUCCUAAAACUCUUCCUUGAACUCUCUCUCAACUAUGGAGGGGCCAUGCGAUACAAAGAAAUGGAAAUAGGUUGGCUGCCCAGCGCCAGAUCAACGCGAAGAUCAAUAUCCCUGUUAGGAGGCAUACCCGGCAGGUCUGAUUAAAAAAAAACAUCGGGGAAGCUCCCGAACAAUAGGAACAAAACAAACGGAAGGAACCUCUACGCUAGAGUCGCAAUCAUAUGCCAUUUGAGCUAAGCACUCCUAUCUUAACCAUGCAUCGAGCGUUCACAUACAAUAUCGCACUGCGGGUCGGAUGAUCUAAAAUUCCUCUUUAUUUUUCCCGGUAAAACCAAGGUCAGGGAGACAACUAAUCCAUCCUCAAUAUGACGUCAAAGUCCACCAUCUCUAAGAGCAAUCAGUUGACACGGGUCUCAAGACCCUCAAACAUCACCACACAAGAACGAUACACUUGGUCGACCACUAUGGAAAUCACCAACUGGCGCAGACACAUAGAUAGAAACACCCAAAGCCUCUCUGGGCAUGAUCUAAUGGGGUGCGAAAUAGAACGACAAAUAAGAAUACAUAGAUCCACGGACAAAUAGUACUGAAACACCUCUAAUACAAAUCAAAUUGGUACCUGUGAUCACAGCAUAUGCUGACUCGACCUCCGGCCUGGCGGGCAAAGCAUAGCAAUGCGGUUGACCCCCUACUCCCUGAACUAUAUCUCUGGGAUGAUCUGCUGCGAGCUGACCUCUACCUCUGGCGGUCUGAGCUCCACCUCUAUGCUCCCUACCUCCACUUCUAUGGCCUCUACCCCCGGGGCGGCCUGUGGAUUGUCUGCUCCCUGAACCAUGGGAUGAGGACCCUGCUGCUGCGAACUGCUGGAAGCUCGAGGGCAAUACUUGGCAAUGUGCCUCAGGUCACCGCAAGUGAAGCAAGCCCUUGGCUGCUGAGAAUAUCGAAGCAGUUGCUGGGCGGGAUAGUACCACUGAAAACUGCGACCGCCUGGUGUACCAUGAGAAGCCUGAAGAGCUGACUGGAGGGGCCUCGGGGGAUGGACUUCGUCAUGGAAAUCCCUACCUCCAUAUGAGAUACCACUAAAUCUUCCAGAAUUGUCGAGGCCUCUUGUCUAUCCGUGACUACCCCUCGAGCCAGUGCCAUCUCUACUCGGCGGGCCGCAUUGGCCGCCUCCUAAAAACUAAAGUCACUGCCAACCCCCAUAGCCAUAUGAAGGCGAAUCGGCUGAAUCAAUCCAUCAAUGAUCCUCCGGACCCUCUCUCGAUCUCUAGGAAGUAUCCCACCACAUAGCGUGCCAAGUCUAAAUUUGGUCUCAUACUAUGUAACUGUAAUUGUCAUGGAGCCCUGUUAAAGGCGCUCAAACUGCCUGCGAAGUUCCUCCCGCUGAGUGACAGGGAGGAACUUCUCCAAAAACAACUCCGCAAACUGAUCCCAUGUCAAGACUGGUGACCCUACUUGUCUAGAUAGGCAAUAAUCCCUCCACCAAGUUUUGGCGGAUCCCACAAGUCUGAAAGUGCAAAAAUUGACCCCAUUGGUCUCUACUAUCCCCAUAGUGUUGAGGAUCUCAUGAAAACUGCAUAUGAAGUCCUGGGGGUCCUCUGUAGAAGUACCGCUAAGGGUGGUAGUGAAAAGAUUGGAGAACCGAUCAAGUCUCCACAAAGCAUCCGAAGACAUGGCUGCUCCAUCAUCGGCCUGAGCUGUAAUACUUGUCUGAGCUACCACUACGGGCUGAACAAAGGAAACAUGAGUCUGGGGAGCUACCUUCUCCGGAGUACGCAUAGCAGGAGUCUCAACCCCUCCUCCAGCCUGCGAAAUGGCUGGUGCUACUGGCAGCAAUCCUGCUCUAGCGACACUAUCCAUAAAACCUGCUAUACGGACAAGAGCAUCCUGGAGAUCCGAAGAAAGCAUCACUCCUCCUGGGACCUGAGCUAGGCCCACUGGAGCUGGUGGAACUGGAAACUCCUCAUCGAAGUCAAUAUGAGGCUCCGCCUCUGGAACUGCUGCCUGGGGCUAAGCUCUGCCCCUGCCACGGCCUCUGGCAUUGGCCUCGGCCCCUGCCCCUAGCGGGAGCUGCUGCUGGGGGCUCGGGCUGCUGCGCAGAAGAAGAAGACGCACUUGUUCUCUCCAUGUACGAAAGAAUAGAGUCGAACGACAAUCAAUAUUUGGGGACAGAAUCGCACGACAAGAAUGAACAAAGUGAAACUUUUCCUAACUACGUAGCCUCUGGGGGAUAAAUACAAACGUCUCCGUACCGAUCCCUCAGACUCUACCGAGCUUGAAAUUUUUUUGCUAACUCUAUAGCCUCUGGGGGAUAAAUACAGACGUCUUCGUACUAAUCCCUCAGACUCUACCGAGCUUGUCCGUGAGUUGUGAGACCCAAGUAACCUAGUGCUCUGAUACCAACUUUGUCACGACCCGGAUUUACCCACCAUUGGGAGUCGUGAUGGCGCCACUGUCGAAGCUAGGCAAUCCAACCCUUAUAAUCAUUUUAACAAAACUUAAUAAAAAACAAGUUAAAUACUAGAAUAAUUAAUUAAAGCAUGCGGAAGUCUUUUAAUAAUAAUAACGAAUACAAGGUGCGGAAAACUAACAACCUGUCUCUACCCAGUAUAUAGUGUCACUGCUCACGGACGAGUAAAGAGUACUAAAAACAACAGUCUGAAAGAAAUACAUAAUAUGUAUGUUUGAUACAAUUAAACAAACUGAAAGAAAUAGAUAGAGGAGACUCGGGGCCCGCGAACGGCAGCGAACUACCUCAGAGCCUCUGGACCGAAGGAUCACUCCCGAACUAUAGCUGCGGUCUGUAGGCUGGGUCGUGACCUGUGCACAAAAGGCACAGAAGCAUAGUAUCAGCACAACCGACCCCAUGCCCCGCGAACGCCAGUAAACUACCUCAAAGCCUCUAGACUGAAGGAUCACUACCGAACUAUAGUUGCGGUCCGUAGGCUAGGUCCUAACCUGUGCACAAAAGGCACAGAAGCGUAGUAUCAGCACAACCGAUCCCAUGUGCUGGUAAGUGCCCGGCCUAACCUCGGCGACGUAGUGACGAGGCUAAACCGGACCUAUCGCAACCAACCUGUGCAGAUAUAUGUAGUAACAGGAAAAGAGCAAGGAUUUAAGAAAAUAAAGGGGAAGGGACAUGCUGGGGGAUAACAGUUCAAUUAUAACUUCUAUAAUCAAGAGAUGAAAUUAAAUAAAUAAUAAUUAAACAAGAAAGUAACCUGUACAUAUGUAUGUGCAGUAACCGAAAUUAACAAAUUCUAAACAUAUAGCAGGAAGGGGACAUGCUGGGGAUGUAGCAGUUCAAUUAUCUAAUUAUCAACAACAAGGAAGUGGAAAUAGUAUAACAAACACCAAUAUGAAAAAGACCCGUAAAACAAACGUUGCACGGCACCACCUAUCGUGCUCUUACUCUCGUCCUCACCAAGAUAAUCCAUCACAGUGUACGGUAUCACCCAUCGUACUUUAUCACUCAUCCUCAUCCAAUCAAUAGUAUGGAGUAGCUCAAUGAUUACAAGCAUCUACAGUGGAUGGCGCGCCACACGCUCCCGUAUUCUCUAUGCACAAUGUCACCAGCAUCUCAGGCCAAAAACAAUAGGUGGACGGCGCAAUCGUAUGGAGUAGCUCAAUGAUUACACGCAUUUACAGUGGACGGCGCGCCACACGCUCCUGUAUUCUCUGCGCACAAUGUCACCGGCAUCUCAGGGCAGUAACAAUAGGUGGAAGGCGUGCCACACGAUCCCAUAAUAAAUGUCACCGGCAUCUCAUGCCAAAAACAAUAUAUGGACGGCGUGCCACACGAUACCAUAAUAAAUAUCUCGUGGUCGGCGUGCCACACGAUCCCAAUAUGUAAUGCAAUUAAAUAAUUCAAACAAUCUCUUCACAGAAGAUCCCGAUAGGGAAGCACAUCAAUAUAACAGUCUAACCCGGCAAGGGUACAACUAACAAUCCAAAAUUUCCCGGUAAGGGGAGAACAACUCCAGAAUAAGUCCCGGCAAGGGAAAACGAUUCAACAACAAAUCCCCGCAAGGGAAAACACCAUAAUUCCUUCCUUAACUCAUUUGCUUCUCAACUAUCAUUUCACAGUUNNNNNNNNNNNNNNNNNNNNNNNNNNNNNNNNNNNNNNNNNNNNNNNNNNNNNNNNNNNNNNNNNNNNNNNNNNNNNNNNNNNNNNNNNNNNNNNNNNNNNNNNNNNNNNNNNNNNNNNNNNNNNNNNNNNNNNNNNNNNNNNNNNNNNNNNNNNNNNNNNNNNNNNNNNNNNNNNNNNNNNUUAACCGUCACCAUACCUAUACACCGACUCCACAUAGCACAUAGAAAAUAUUAACCUAAUCAUAUUCCUUCAAGCCAAAGUUAGAUCUAACACUUACCUUGAAAGCUUCCAACUCAACUCACCCCUCUAGAAUAGCUUUACCCCUCGAAUUCGCUUCAAAGCCGAUAGAAUCUAACCACAAUUUACUCAAAUGUAUCAACGAAUGCUAUUUAAAUCAAUUGAAUGCAUAUGAAUGAAAUUCCCAAAGUUUUAUCCAAAAAUUCCCAAAACUCCCCUGGGCCCAUGUGGUCAAAACCCGAGGUUCAGACCAAAACCGGGUUACCCAUUCCCCACGAGUUCAUAUAUGCAAUUUGUUUUUAAAUCGGACCCCAAAUUGAGGUCCAAAUCCCAAUUUUAUGAAAACCUAGGUUAUACCCCAAAUCCCCCAUUUUAACCAUGAAAGCUCAGAUUUAAGCAUGAAAUCAUGUUAGAAGAUGAUAAAGAUUGAAGAAAACUAGUAAAAAUUGACUUACGUUUGGUUUGGGGACGAAAGAGUUCGAGAGGAAUCGCCUAUGGUGGUUUUGGGUUUUGAAAGAUAUGAAAAGUGAGGUUUAAAUUCGUUUAAGAAUCACUUGCAGGGGUGCAGAUGUCGCAAAUGCGAUAUUGAUUUCGCAUUUGCGAACUAGGUUAAAAUGAAAGGGACCUUGCAAUUGCGAGUAAAUAGUUCACAACUGCGAACUGAGCAAGGAAAGGGGGAAACUCGCAUUUGCGAGAAAAGGUUCGCAAAUGCGAACAUUUGCCCUCGGGGCUCCAACGCAAACAUGCACCCAAUCUCUAAAACACCCCAUGGACUUACUCGUGCGAUCAAAUCGCCAAAAACAUCUAAAUCAAAGAAUCAACCUCCAAAACUCAUGAUUUUCAGUUCAAGUUCAACACUUUCAAACUUUUCCACUUUUAGUCCGAAACAUGUCAAACAACGUCCGUUUUCAACCAAACUUUACAGAUAGCGCUUAACGCCUAUUUAAAUCUUGUACCGGGCGUCAGAACCAAAAUACGAGCCCAAUACCAUCACUUUUGAUCAAAUUUUCAUUUCUAUUUUACCUUAAGCAUUUUCAAAAACAAUUUCACGGAAAAGCUCUGUACUCGGGCCUGGGACCUCGGAUUUCGAGGCCUUUCAAGGCCUCGCAACUAAAUAAGAGGUUUUCAAGGCCUCAGAAGCGCAAGGAAAGGGAGAAUUAUAGUGAUGACCCUUUGGGUCGUCACAAAUUUUCUAGCUCUCAAUGCCUUUUCCCCUCGAAUCGGCCUCUACUCGCAUCGAGUCUAUUCAGAAUCAAAAUCACGGUGUCAAAAUAUGCCAAGGGAACGAAGCCCAAGCAAAAAUAAUCACUAUACGACACAAAUCGUGAAAUUACCCAAACCCGAUCCUUGGGCCCAUAUCUCAAAUUCGAUAAAACAUCAAUAGGUUCCUUAUCUCCCCAUGAGUUCAUAGUUACAUAUGAAAAGUUCUGAAAUCCGACCUCAAAUGGUCCUUUAAAUCCUCAAGUCUAGGUCUCUAAUACCAAGCUGUAGUUUCCCAAAUUUUAACCCCUGAAUCCCAUUAAUUAUAGCUCUAAUUUGUGAAAUAAUAGAUAGGAACAAAGUUUUAGGUCUAAAUUCCUUACCUCACUGAAGUUCCCUUGAAAUGCCUCUUCAAAAUCAUCCAAAAAGCUCCAAAGUCAAGUAAAAAAUGGUGAAAUAGCUCAAAAAUUGUGAAGGACACAAUUUAUAGUUCCUGGCCCAGGUAUUUUCGCAUCUUCAGGCAAUAUUCCACUUAUGCGGUACCGCAUUUGCGGUCAACCAAGCGCUUAUGUGGUUUUUCACUUACUUCCCAUUAUCCAAAUUUGUGAUCUCGUGCCCGCAUCUGCGAUAUUGCAUAUGCGGUCCUCCUAAUUGCUUUUGCGGUUUCCUACCUACUAUUCAGCUUCCGCUUCUGUGACCCUUUUUCCCGAAUAUGCGGCGUCUCACCUGCGGUCGCCAAUCCGUAGGUGCUGAAAUACCAGAAGCAGCAAAAAUUUGCAUCUUCACAAAGUCUCAAACUCCUUCGUCAAUCAUCCAAAAUCACCCCAAGCCCCCCCAGAACCUCAACCAAAAGCACUAAUAUAUCCCAUAGCCUUAUUCAAAUGUAUACCAAUUCUUCAAAACACCUCAAACAACAUCAAAUCAACCAAAACACAUCGGAUUCAAGCCUAAGUUUCCAAAAUCUUCAGAAUUCUGCUUUUGAUAAAAAAAAACCCAACCAAAUCACGUUCGAAUGACCUGAAAUUUUCCACACACAUCCCAAAUGGUACAAUAGAACUACUACAAAUUUCGAAAUUCUAUUCCGACCCCUAUAUCAAAAUCUCACAUACCAACCGAAAAUCGCAAAAAUAUCAACUUUGCCAAUUCAAGCCUAAAUCUACUUCGAACGUCCAAAACUCAUUCUGAUCACUCUCUUGAGUCCCAAAUCACCUCCCAAAGCUAACCGAACCAUUCGAACUCACAUCCGAGCCCUCUAACACACAAGUCAACAUCCGGUUGACUUUUCCAACCUAAGCUUCCCCAAAAGAGAUAAAUGUCUCAAACCGUACCAAAUUCUAUCUGAACCCGAGCCAACCAACCCGAUCAUACAUAAAACUGAUAAACAAUGCAAUAAGAAGUAGAAAUAGGGGAAAUGGAAUAAAAUGACUGGUCGGGUCAUCACAUCCUCCCCAACUUAAACAAAUGUUCGUCCUCGAACAAAUCAAGAAACAUACUUGAAGCCUCAAACAGUUGAGGAUAUCUGCUCUGCAUCUCUCACUCGGUCUCCCAGGUAGCCUCCUUUACGGGCUGACCUCUCCACUGCACCUUCACUGAAGCUAUAUCCUUUGAUCUCAACUUUCGAACCUGACGACCCAAAAUAGCUAUUGGCUACACAUAACAGGUCAAAUCAUCAUCCAAUUGAACCAUGCUAAAAUCUAGAACAUGAAAUGGAUCCUCAAUAUACUUCUGGAUCAUAGAAACAUGAAAUACCGGAUGCACACUCGGCAAGCUGGUUGGCAAUGCAAGCUCAUAAGCCACUUCCCCAAUCCUUAGAAACACCUCAAAUGGCCUAACGAACCACAGACUCAAUUUUAAUUUUCUUCCUAAAUCUCAUAACAACCUUCAUGGGCGAAACCUUCAACAGAACCUUCUCGUUCACCAUGUAGGACACAUCUCGAACCUUCUUAUCAGCAUAACUCUUUUGUCUCGACUGUGCUAUAUGAAGCCUCUCCUAAAUCACCUUCACCUUGUCUAUAGCAUCAUGCACCAAGUAUGUACCUAAUAGCCUAGCCUCACCAGGCUCGAACCAACCAACUAGAGAUCUACAUUGCCUCCCAUACAAAUUCUAAUAUAGAGCCAUCUGAAUACUCGACCGGUAGUUAUUGUUAUAAGCAAACGCUGCAAGCGGUAGAAACUGAUCCCAUGACCCUUCGAAAUCAAUGACAUAAGCACGCAACAUGUCCUCCGAUAUCUGAAUAGUGCGCUCGGAUUGCCCGUCCGUCUAAGGGUGAAAAGUUGUGGUCAACUCAAUCUGAGUGCUAAACUCUCGCUGCACUGACCUCCAAAACUGCAAAGUAAACUGAGUGCCCCUAUCUAAAAUGAUAGAAACUAGGACACCAUACAAACAAUCUCCAAAAUAUAGAUUUCUGCCAACCGCUCUGAAGAAUAGGCCAUAUACACAGGAAUGAAGUGCCGGGACUUGGUCAUCCGAUCCACAAUCACCCAAAUAUCAACAAACUUCCUCAAAGUCCGCGGAAGUCCAACUACAAAGUCCAUAAUGAUCCUCUCCCACUUCCACUCUGGAAUAUCCAUCUGCUGAAGCAAGCUACCCGGUCUCUGAUGCUCAUAUUUCAUCUGCUUACAAUUGAGACACCGAGCUACAAAUCCCAUAAUGUCUUUCUUCAUUCUCCUCCACCAAUAAUGUUGCCUUAAAUCCUGAUACAUCUUCACAGCACACGGUUGAAUGGAAUAUUGCGAGCUAUGGCCCUCCUCUAGAACAAACUCCCGAAGCCCAUCCAUAUAGGGCAAACAAAUCCGGCCUGCAUCCUCAAUACCCCAUCAUCGCCAAUGGUCACAUCUCCAGUAUCAUCAUAUUGAAUGUUAUCCUUAAGGACAAGCAAAUAAGGAUCAUCAUAUUAGCGCUCUAUAAUGCGAUCAUAUAAAGAAGAUCAAGAAAUCACAGAAGCCAAUAGCUAACUGGGCUGCGAAAUAUCCAACCUCACGAACCGAUUGACCAAGGUUUUAAAAUAAAUUGCAGGAGGUCUCUCCCUACUUGGAAUAUAUGCCAAACUCCCCAUACUCACCGCCUUUUGGCUCAAAGCAUCGGUCACCACAUUAGCCUUCCCCGAAUGGUACAAUAUAGUGAUAUCAUAAUCCUUAAGCAACUUCAACCACCUCUGCUGCCUCAAAUUGAGAUCCUUCUAUUUGAAAAAUGCCGGAGGCUACGAUGAUUAGUAAACACCUCACAAGACACACGAUAUAAGUACUGCCUCCAAAUCAUUAACGCAUGAACUAUGGCAGGCAGCUCCAAAUCAUGAGCGCGAUAGUUUUUCUCAUAGGGCUUCAACUGACGAGAAGCAUAAGCAAUAACUCUAUCCUCCUACAUCAAUACAUAACUAAUACCAAAUCUUGAAGCAUCACAAUACACGGUAUAUGAACCUGAAGCUAAUGGUAAAACCAAAACUAGAGGUAUGGACAAAGUUGUCUUGAGCUUCUGAAAGCUCUCCUCUCACUCGCUCGACCAUACAUAUGAAGCACCCUUCUGAGUCAACUUGGUUGAUGGCGAUGCGAUAGAUGAGAAUCAUUGAACAAACCGGCGAUAAUAGCCCAUCAAAUCAAGAAAAAUGUGAAUCUCCAUGGCUGAGGACGGUUUGGGCCAACUCUAAACCGCCUCUAUAUUCUUCGAGUUAACCUUAAUACCCUCGUUGGACACCACGUGCCCCAAGAAAGCCACUGAACCGAGCCAAAACGCACACUUGGAGAAUUUUGCAUAAAGCUUCUCCUCCCUAUAUCUUUGCAACUCUCAAAUGCUCUGCGUGCUCCUCCUGAUUAUGCAAAUACACCAGAAUAUCAUCAAUGAAGACUAAGACAAAUGAGUUGAGAUACGACCGAAAUAUGAUGUUCAUCAAAUACAUGAACGCUGCUGGGGCAUUGGUCAACCCGGAAGACAUCACCGAGAACUCAUAAUGACCAUAUGGGGUCUUGAAAGUUGUCCUAUGAAUAUACGAGUCCCUGAUCUUCAACAGGUGAUAAUCUGAAUAGAGAUAAAUCUUGGAGAACACUGUCACUCCCUGAAGCUGGACGAAUAAAUCAUCAAUGUGAGGCAAAGGAUACUUGUUCUUAACUGUUAGUUUUUUCAGUUGCUUAUAGUCAAUUCACAUUCUCAUAGUGCCAUCCUUAUUCUUUACAAAUAGAACUAGCACACCACAAGGUGACACAGUAGGCCGAAUGAACCCCUUUUCAAGGAGUUCCUGAAGUUGCUCCUUUAACUCUUUCAACUCUGUUGGUGGCAUGCGAUACAUUGAAAUAGAAAUGGAUUAAGUGCCUGCACUAGGUCAAUACCAAAAUCAAUAUCCAUGUCCGGUGGCAUACGCGGUAGGUCUGCAGGAAACACAUCUGGAAAAUCUCUCACAAUUGGAACAGAAUCAAUAUUUGGAGUCUCAGCACCGACCUCUCUCACAAAGGCUAGAUAUGAAAGACAACCCUUCCCAACUAUAUGAUGGGUCUUCAAGAAUGAAAUCACUCUGCUAGGAAUAUAACCAGUCACACCUCGCAACUCAAUCCGUGGCACACUCAAUAUAGCCAAUGUGACUGUCUUGGCAUGACAAUUCAGAAUAGCAUGACACGAAGAUAGCCAAUCCAUGCCCAAAAUAACAUCGAAAUCCACCAUACACAAUAAUAAAAGAUCCACAAGGGUCUCCAGACCGCCAAUAGUCACCACACAUGACUGGUACACAUGGUCUAUAACAACAGUAUCGCCUACUGAGAUAGAUACAUGAAUAAGAGAAACCAGAGACUCACGGGGCGUGCAAAAAUAACGAGCAAAGUAUGAUGACACAUAAGAAAAGGUGGAACCAGGAUCAAAUAAUGUAGAGGAAUCUCUAUGGCAAACUGUAACAAUAACUAUAAUGAUAGUAUCGGAAGCAAUAACAUCGGCUCUAGAUAGAAGUGCAGAGAAAUGGACCCGAGCGCCACCUGAUUAGCCUCCCCUCUAGGGCGACCCCUAGCUGCCUUACCUCCGCCCCUAGAUGGCUGGAUGAGUGGUGAUGAAGCAAUUGGUAUUGAAGUCGAUGGCUGACCCCUCUACUGAGAUGAACUCGCAAGACGAUGAGGGCACUGCCUCCACAUAUAACCCAUCUCUCCAUACUCAUAACAAUUCCCAGGUGUCGGAGAAGGGGACUGAAGGGAACCCCUCUCAUCGGAGUAACUAGCAUAUGCACCUGGCAUAGAAGAGCCUUGAACUGAUGGAGCACAGGACGAACUCUGAGCUAGAAGGGCACAAGUGAUGACUGGUUCUGCUGAGAAUCAUGAUAACCAUGACUUGAUAACGCCCCAUGAUAACCUGGGCGAGCUGGCUAAGCCUGCCUAAAUGGGCAGCCUCUGUUAUGCUGAAACUGACCUCUUGAAGGAGCACCACUGUAACUACCAGAUCCUCGAGGCCUCUUGGCCUCCCUAUCAUCUCGGUCAUAGUGAUGAACAAACUUAAUCUCACAGGCAAUAUCCAUAACCUCCUCGAAAGUAGCACGAGCCACUCUCUCCCUAGUCAUAAGAAUAUGAAGCUAAUAAGUGAGACCAUCAACAAACGUCUUAAUCCUCUCUCUAUAUGUCGAAACUAAUAAAAUGGCAUCACGAGCUAACUUAGAGAACCUCAACUCAUACUACGACACGGUAAUCUCUCCCUGAAGCAACUACUCAAACUACCUAUGCAGCUUCUCUCUACGAGACUGCGAUACAUACUUCUCCAAAAAGAGAACAGAAAAUUGCUACCAGGUAAGGGGUGCUGCACCAAGAGGCGUACGCCUCUCAAAAUCCUCCCACCAAGUGAAGGCUGCUCCAGAAAACUAAUAGGUAGUGAAAGUGACCCCGCUAGUCUCUAGAAUACCCGUUGUACGAAGCAUCCUCUAACACUUGUCCAAGAAACCCUAGGCAUCCUCUCCCUCUGUACCACUGAAGGUCGGAGGCUGAAGUCUACCAAACCUCUCCAACCUAUGUUGCUCAUCCUCUGGCAUGGCAGGAACUACAUAAUCCUGAGUAACUGCAACCGGCUAGGCUAGAUGUGCCCCCGACGUCUGAAAUUGUCGGCACGACUUGCUCAGAUGUGCAAGCUAAUAGGAUUUGAGAAGUAGUUGCAACUGUAGCGGCUGAAACUGCCUGAGCUAUGCCAGUGCAAAUUGAUAGGAUCUAAGCCGAGGACUCCUAAAGACCCGGAAUCACAAUAGGCACAACUGGUGCCUGAGCUGGUGCUACUGGAGCGUCUAUAACUAGGACCUGAUCCUGAACUAGAGCUAGUGGUAAAUCUAUAGGUGCUGCCUUAGCUACUGUGGGGGCCAAAUCUCUGCCCCUACCGCAACCACGACUGCGUCCUCGGCCUCUAGUGGCCACAGCUCGUGGUACUAGUAGUCGUCCAUCCUGACCUGUGGCACGUGUCCUCACCAUCUGUGAGAGAAUAGAAUAACAGAAGUUUAGUACUCAGAUCAACAAAUUCGCACGAUAAGAAUUUCAAGAAUACGAAGUUUUUCCUAAAGGUUCUGCAGCCUCUCGAGGAUAAAUACAUACGUCCCCGUACUGAUCCGCCAGACUCUACUAAACGAACUUAUGACUUAUGAGGCCUAUGUAACCUAGAUUCUGAUACCAACUUGUCACGACCCUAAACCCAGAACCGGUCGUGAUGGUUCCUCUAGUGAAAACAAGGCCACUAACUCUUCUUGUUUCAGUAAUUACCAGUUAAACAGUAAGAAACAGUCUAAAGAAUGAUGAAAUAAUCCAAAGUUUAAGCAGAAAAUAGCAUAAUAUGCGGAAUACAACCCAACACAGCCCGAUACCGGAGUGUCACUAGUCAUAAGCAUCUAAACAAUCUGGAAUACUCAAGGAAGUCUAUAGAGUUUAAUACAGAAACAAAGAACAUAAAGAAAUAAGAUAGAUAAGAAGCUCUGGGCUACCAACGCUAACAGCUACUUAGAGACUCCUCAGAUUUUCCUGAGCUGGAAAGGGAUCAACACUCGGGAGCAGACCAGAUACGUCUGAAUCUACACACGUGUGUAGGGAGUAAAGUGAAUACUCCAACUCUUGUGAGUAAUAAUCAUAAAUAAAGACUGAAAUCAAAAAACCACGUAAAGCACAUUACCCGCUGUAGUGAAGUAGUAAAACAAGUAAAAACAAUAACUUAGUAAAAAUAUGAGAAAAAGUCAUUUUAUUCAACUUAAACUUCAUAAAAAGCCUUUCAAGCAAUUAAAUACAUAAAAGUUUUCCCCUCGGGAACAAUAUCAAAAAAUCCGCCGCUCGGGCAAUAUUUCAAAACAAUACCAGCCCCUCGAGCUACAUCUCACAUCACAUGGGUACCCGCGUUCACUGGGGGUGUGCAGACUCCUGGAGGGGACCCUUACGGCCCAAGCGUAAUAAAAAGCCAUCUCGCGGCUGAGUAUAAAACAAUAAAAUAUAUCAUGUCUGAGUUCAAGUAUAAAGUCAAAAUAGUGAGAAAAAGUAUCAACAAAAAUCCUCGAAGGGGUUCAACAGUUGGCAUGAGACCCAAAAUAUGGCAUUCAACCCAAAUAAUAAUGAUAGAAAAUAGAUUUCAAUCAAAUACGCGGUAAAAUAGUCAUUCGGGACAGACUAAGUCACAAUCCCCAACAGUACAUGACCCCACACUCGUCGUCAAGCAUGUAUCAAUAUAGCAUAACAAUGUGCAAAUCUAGGGUUUCAUACCCUCAGAACAUAAUUUAAAAUCAUUACUCACCUCAAACCGGUCAAAUAUCUAGCUUGUGAUGCCUUUUCCCCUCGAAUCAACCUCCACUUGCGUCAAAUCUAUUCAAAAUCAGAAUAGCAACAUCAAAUAUACUAAGGGAACGAAGCCCAAGCAAAAAUAAUCAAUAUACCACAUAAAUCCCGAAAUUACCAAAACCCGACUCCCGGGACCACGUGUCAAAAUUCGAUAAAAUUCACAUCAAUAGGUUCCUUAUCUUCCAUGAGUUCAUACAUAUCAAAAGUUCUGAAAUCUAACCUUAAAUGGUCCUUUAAAUCCUCAAGUAUAGGUCUCCAAUACCAAGCCCUAGUUUCUCCAAUUUAACCCUUAAAUUACAUUCAUUAUAGCUCUAAUAUGUGAAAUAUUAGUAUAGGAACGAGUUUUAGGUCUAAAUUCCUUACCUCAGUGAAGUUCCCUUGAAAUACCUUUUCAAAAUCAUCCAAAAAGCUCCAAAGCGAGUAAAAAAUGGUGAAAUAGCUCAAAAAUUUGAAGGACAAAAUUUAUACUUUCUGGCCCAGGUAUUUUUGCAUUUGCGGCCAAUAUUCCGCUUCUGUGGUACCGCAUUUGCGGUCAACCAACCGCUUCUAUGAUAUUUCACUUACUUCUUAUUAUUCACAUCUACGGCCCCGUACCCUUAUCUGCGACAUUGCAUAUGCGGUCCUCCUAACUACUUCUAUGGUUUCUUACCUACAUUCAACUUCCGCUUCAGUGACCCUUUUUCCCGCAUAUACGGCGUCGCGCUUGCGGUCCUAAUCCGCAGGUGCAAAAAUACCAGAAGCAGCAAAACUCUGCAACUUAACAAAGUCUCAAACUCCUCCAUCAACCAUCCAAAAUCAUCCCGAGGCCCCCACGACCUCAACCAAAAGCACAAACAUAUCCUAUAACCUUAUUCAAACUUGUACCAAUUCUUCAAAACACAUCAAACAACAUGAAAUCAACAAAAACACAUCAGAUUCAAGCCUAAGUUUUCAAAAUCUUCUGAAUUCCGCUUUUGAUUAAAAAUCCAACCAAAUAACAUCUGAAUGACCUAAAUUUUUGCAUACACAUCUUAAAUGACAUAACGGAACUACUGCAACUCUCGAAAUUCCAUUCCAACCCCUAUAUCAAAAUCUCUCCUACCAACUGAAAAUAACAAAAAUAUCAACUUCGUCAAUUCAAGCCUAAAUAUACUCUGAACCUCCAAAACCCAUUCCAAUCAUGCUCCGAAGUCCCAAAUAACCUCCUGAAACUAGCGAAACUAUCAGAACUCACAUCCGAGCCCUCUAACACACAAGUCAACAUCCGGUGGAUUUUUCCAACCUAAGCUUCCUCAAAAGAGACUAAGUGUCUCAAACUAUACCAAAACCUUUAUGCACCCGAGCCAACCAACCUGAUCAAAUAUAGAAAUGAUAUACAAAGCAAUAAGAAGCAAGAAUGGGAGAGACGGAGCGGUAACUCAUGAGACGACUGGCCGGAUUAUCACAAGAUGGGGGAGUAAAUCUUUAUCCACUUCAUAGGUGAUUAGGUAAUAUCUCGUUACCUAAUAAUUAACCAAUUACCUGCAUAAUUAAGAAUUAUCUUAAAUUACUUAAAAUUUUACUUAUUUAUGAUAUACUUUAUUCAUCAUACGAACAUAAUCAUGUGGUUCCUUGUAUGGUACCAGUCUAUAAAUAUCGGGUAUUAUCACUCAGCAUGUAGUUUAUCCCUAAUUGGCAACCGUCAACAAAACUCAUUUUCUUUAAUUCAUGUACCUUUUUAUCCUUCAUGAAACUUACUUAUUUCUUAUUAUAAAUAGCAUAAGUAUGCUAACCUCAAUAUAAUGUCAUCCUAAGUCUACGUCAAUUAACUAAAGACAAAACCUUAACGUACGAAAACGUGAGAUGUUACAGGUGGACUGAGGGGGGAUCGAGUUGCACGCCACAACAAGGGUAAUAAGGAUGAAUAUUCAUAUUGUUACUUAUAAUAUGGUGGGAUCGGGAUGCACGCCGCAUCAUUUUGAUUUUUGUGUGUUCUUCCUCUAUUGUAAUGUUAUUCUGUAGCAUUGUAACUCUCUUAAGGAUUGGUUAUAGCUGAGUAAUUGCAAUAUUGAACUCCGUAUUUAUUUUUUCCGCAAGUUACUAUUCCAUUUCAUUCUGUACUUCCUUUUUAUUUAUUAUAUAUUGUAUGCAGGGUAUACAUUAUAAAUGCCCCACCGUAGCCUCGGCAUUACCUCAUCGAGAUUAGGCUAGACACUUAUCAGUACAUGGGGUUAGUUUACUGAUACUUCACUCUGUACUAUCUGUGCAGAUUUUGUAGCUCGUUGUGGCUGAUCGAGAGGUCAGUUGCAGAUACUUCAUAUGGGAGACCCAAGGUAGUUUUGCUGGUGUUCGCAUGCCCUGGCGUCCCCUCCUAUGUUUAUAUUUUCCUGUUUUCUUUCUUUUGAGGCAGAUGUAAUUUUCUUCAUACCAGUAUUUGUAGUAAUUCAUAGUGUGUUUGUGAAUUGUGACACCAAUUUUUGGGUAGUAAACUUUCGGUUCAAUUUAUAGUAUAUAUAUAACCGGUUUAUUAUGUACUUCCGCAUUUAUUCCUAUUUAGCUUUGUAAAUUUUAACUAUAAAAAUGUAAAGGAAAAAUGUGAGUAUAACUCUAACAUUGCCUUGCCUAGCAAGUGUGAUGUUAGGUGCCAUUACGGUCUUGAUGAUGGAAAAUCCGGAUCAUGGCAAUUUUUGUAUCUGAUAAGAUUGUACAUAAUAACCGGUUUAUUAUGUACUUCCGCAUUUAUUCCUAUUGAUCUACCUUUGUAAAUUUUAACUAUAAAACUGUAAAGGAAAAAUGUGAGUAUAACUCUAACGUUGCCUUGCCUAGCAAGUGUGAUGUUAGGCGCCAUUACGGUCUUGAUGAUGGAAAAUCCGGAUCAUGGCAAUUUUUGUAUUUGAUAAGAUUGUAAUAAGUAAGAACGAGAUAUUUGUAGGAAAAAGGUCACUUCACUGAGGGCCUUUUCAAGCUAAAUUUAAUGGUCGUUGAGAAUAAUAAAAUUUUAGCUUCAUCUUACUUGCUUGAGUCAAAUGAUUUAUGGCAUAUACGUUUGGGUCGCAUCAAUUAUAAAACCUUCCAAAAAAUGGUUAACUUGAAAGUAUUGUCUAAGUUUGAAUGCGAGAAAUCAAAAUGCCAAAUAUGUGUGAAAUAUAAGUAUGUUAAACAUCCUUAUAAGUCAAUUGAAAGGAAUUCAAAUCCUAUAGACUUAAUUCACACAGAUAUUUGCGACAUGAAGUCAAUACCAUCUCGUGGUGGAAAGAAGUAUUUCAUAAUUUUUAUUGACAAUGGUACUCGAUAUUGCUAUAUUUACUUACUUAAUAGUAAAGAACAAGCAAUAGACGCAUUCGGGCAAUAUAAAAAUGAAGUUGAAAUACAACAUAACAAGAAAAUCAAAAUAAUAAGAAGUGAUAAGGUCAUUAAAUAUGAAUCUCCUUUUGAAGAAAUAUGUUUAGAAUAUGAAAUUAUUUACCAAACAAUGGCCCCUUACAUGCUCCAAUUCAAUGGAAUUGCGAAAAGAAAGAAUCGUUCACUAAAGGAGAUGAUGAACGCAUUGUCGAUAAGUUCUGGUUUGCCACAGAACUUGUGGGGGGCAAGUCGUUCUUACAGGUAAACGGAUACCAAAUCGAGUACCCCAUAGCAAAAUAUAAUCCAUUUCAUAUGAAAAAUAGAAAGGAAAGAAGCCUAACUUGAAUUAUUUUAGUGGGGGUGUUUGGCAAAAGUGUAAGUUCUUAAACCUCAAAAGGGAAAAAAUAGGAAUGAAAACAAUUAAUUAUGUUUUCAUAAGAUAUGCGACCAAUAGUAAAGCAUAUCGAUUUCUGGUUCAUAAAUCAUAAAAUCCUGACAUUCAUAAUAAUACAGUUAUAGAAUCAUAUAAUGUUGAGUUCUUCGAAAAUAUAUAUCCUUAUAAAAAGGAAUGUGAGUCAAUUGAAGAAAGAUCUAAACGACCCCGGGAAGAAAAAAAAUAAAUUAUAUUCAAUCAGGACGAUCCAAGAUGUACUAUAUGUCAAAGAACAUCUACUUCAUUUGGACCAGAUUUUGUGACUUUCUUAUUGGAAAAUAAGCUUCGAACAUUUAAAGGAGCUAUCUAUUCUUCGGAAUCGUUAUUUUGGAAAAAACCAGUCAAUAGUGAAAUAGAAUCCAUAUUGAACAACCAUACAUGGUUGAUCUUCCUCCUGGAAACAAAAUUUUGGGUUAUAAAUGGAUUUUUAAAAGGAAAAUGAAAGAUGAUGGCACUAUUGAUAAAUAUAAGGCGAUACUUGUAGUCAAAUAGUAUAGACAACUGAAAAGUCUUGACGAUUUUGAUACAUACUCCCCAGUUACAAGAAUUACAUCCAUACGAAUGUUAGUAGCAUUAACUGCAGUUUAUGGUCUUGAAAUUCAUCAAAUGGACGUUAAAACAACCUCUUUGAAUAGAGUUUUGAGGAAGAAAUCUACAUGGAAUAACCUGAAGGGUUUGUGAUUUCAGGUAAAUAAAAUAAGGAACAUAGACUUGUUAAGUCCCCUUACAGACUAAAACAAGCACCGAAAUAAUGGCAAGCGAAAUUUGACCAAACAAUGUUGUCAAAUGGUGUUAAUAUAAAUGAAUGUGAUAAUGUGUAUAUUAAAAAAUUUCCUAAUCAGAUAGUCAUUGUUUGCUUAUAUGUGGAUGAUAUACUAAUAAUGAGCAAUAACAGUGCCAACAUAAAUGCGACUAAGUGUAUGCUAACUAACAAGUUUGAUAUGAAGGACUUGGAUGUUGAUGAUUUAAUUAUGGGGAUUAAGAUCCAUAUGACUCCUCAAGGUCUAGCAUUGUCACUAUCUCCUUAUAUUAAGACAGUACUUGAAAAAUUUAAGCACUUAGGGUUUAAAGUUGUAAAGACUCCAAUUGACAUGAAUCUUGCAUUAGAAAAGAAAAAAGGCCAAAGCAUAUUACAAUUGGAUUAUGCUCGUGUUUUGGGAUACUUAAUAUAUAUCAUGAAUUGUACACGUCCAGAUAUAGCUUGUGAUAUAAGUAAACUGAGUCGGUACACGAUCAAUCCAGGUCAAUCUCAUUGGAUGGCAAUGAAACGAGUUUUGGGAUAUUAAAACAUGCCCAAGACUUUACUUUGCACUACAAUAAAUAUCCGGUGAAGAAGCUGAAUGGCUUUGAAUUUUUUUGGAAAACAUUCCAUUUUGGCUCAAACCAUUGGGAGCAUUAUGUAUAACGGUAAAUCUCGUCAUAUACGACGGAGACAUAAAACCGUUAGGCAACUACUCUCUAGAGGAAUUAUCACGAUUGACUAUGUAAAGUCAAGUGAUAAUAUAUCGGAUAAACUUACAAAAGGCUUAACUAGAGAGGUAGUUGAGAAAUCAUUGAGGAGAAUGGGACUAUGGCUGAGAACAAGUCAUUGUGGCGGUAACUUUAUAUAGAAGACCGGAGAUCCCAAGAUAUAGGUUGAAGGAGAUCAAACAAAGUCAUUGAUAACAGUUUAACAUUGUCAACAAAAGUUUUGGUCCAUCUCGUGAUGAGACAAUUCUCAGUACCAAGGAUAAAGCAUUAAGGCUUUUUAAUGAUUUUUGAAUUUGAUAUGAGGUAUAUCAAAUAAUGUAUCUACAGGAUAACACGUUAGGAAUCACCUAUAUAAGUGUGAAGUGUUAGCCGCUUCAAGGAGAAUUCUGUAAGGCAAGUUCUCUACGCACGUAUGAAAUCAGAUGGUGUUUAUGACUAAAACGAACACAACAAUGAGAACCAAAGACGGUUAAGGAUUAAUUGUGUGACUUAUGGUUCUCUAAGUAUAUAUCAAAGUUUGACAGUUCAAAGAUAUCAAAUCUACUAAUUGGCUGAGUAUAUGCGAUAUAAGUUCACUACAAAAAGUUCAAACGAAAGCCUACUUAUCUAGAUGCAAUUAAUCCUUAUUUGUGAAUUACGUAGUUUUUCAUGCAUAUUUCCGUGAUAUAGCCAUUAUCCAUUCAUGUGGGGAAUUGCUGAGUUUUUUACGCUAAAACAAGCUUAAGAGAGGGUGAAUAGGAAAUGGAAGAAAAAUAAAUUUUUUUAUUUUCCUCCUUGAGAAAGGGACAUUGUCCCAUAUUGAAAGAGGAAAAGGCUUCUGAUGGAUAUAUAUACAAUUGCUCUUCUUUUAGAUCUUAAAGAGUUAAGAGGAAGACUCGCGCCGUCGUUGCUCGCUCAACUUCGGCUUUGGCUUCGGAUUUAGUCAAAUAAUUGAUUGAUUAAUUUUUUGGACCAAAUUUAUUUGUGAAUAGCAAAUAUUAACAUAAUAUUAUUAAAUAUACGUGUUUGUAACAGACUAAUAAUCCAAAUUAUUCAUUUUAAUGAAUCUGCCCAUCCUUUUUUGUAACAAAAAAUGUUUCAUCUGCCCAUUUUAAUUUGUAGAAAUGACCAUUUACGUUAUGGCCGUUUUAUAUGAUUUACCUUUCUUUGUUUGAGCUCAACAAGUUGGGGUUAUAAAUAAGUUGUUCAUUCUCUCAGUACGAAUUUCUGAAUACUCCUCCUUUAUUCUAUAUUAUUUUAACUAUAAAGAAAGCAACAGUAAAUGUGAUUUGCUAUUGAUCAUUGUGUUAGCUGAAAUACCGGGGUUUGAAGUACCACUACACCAAUGUAUAAUUCAUUCUAUCCUGGAAGAAAAUAAUCCACAACCUUUGGUACUAGGAGGGGAUUAAGUUCCUUAAGGAAACACUGUGAAUUCAGUGGACUCUGAUUAAAUUCUAUUUAUGUUUUUCAUUUCUGUUUAUACGUUAUUUUAUGUUCUAUAGAAUUAUUUUACAAAUACACUAUACUAAUAAUAACUAUAUAAUCCUACAGCAUAUUGUAUGUCGCAAUGGUAUAUUAUUGGGUAACUGUGUUCUUUUUCGAUUUUCAGCUUGAAAAUUUCAAUCUCAAUCACCUCAAAUCAUCUCCAAAUGCGAUCAGAUUUUAGUAUAAACUUUCAGAAGGUGUUGUAAGCAAUAUUUAGUAGCACCGAAAUCACAAUUAAAUUUCAAAAAGAUGACUCGAACUAGAACAAAUGGCAACGAGAAAAUAUAAAAUUUGUAAGGAGAGAGAAUGUGUUUUGUGGCGAUGAAAAACAUUCAAUAGGUGUCUAUUUCAUUCAGUAAUAAAAAAUUAAACUACAUGCGCGUAGUAAAUUAAUUGAGUCAUAAUUUAUAGAUAUUGAGCAGACCUCUUUUAUUGUAUACGCAAAAUUAUCACAUAACUAAUAAAAAUUGCAACUCCUUGAAUAAUUAAAUUACUUUAGAAGUUCAUCAACAAACAUGAUUUUUGCUUUAUUUUUAGUAUUAACAUAAUCUUCUUUCUUUUAAAAAAUAAAAUAAAAUGAUCACGUGUAUUGAGCGUGACAUCGUAGUCCUAGUACAGAGUCUGCGCUAUAUAGCUAAAUCCGCACGCAAAGUUCCCUACAAUAAGAGGGAUAAAAGCAACAAAAGGCUAUUUUUUGGACAGUGCGAAAAGGAAGCUCUGCAACUUGAACAAAAGCGAGAAACGGUAGCGAAUCGAUUCAGCUUACUCUCACCCUGCUGUUUUACUCUGUUUUCAGACGGUACGUAUUAUUUUUUUUCUUCUUUUUCCGUUUUCUUUUUUUUUUUCUCAGUCUAGAAGUUCUUCACUUUUUUGCUUUGAUUUUUAGCUGCUCUCAACCAGAUAGUAGCGACGUUUGUCACAUAGGGUUAUGUAAAAGAAUGGUAAUAGCUGAUUAAAGUGAUGAGUUUGCUUAAAAAUGGAAGGAUCAUUGGCUGCAUUUACGCAUCAAUCGGCAACACUUAUUGUUAUCUGCUUUGAUUGUUAACAUAUAUGACUUGAUCUCAUAACGUGCAUGUAGCCGAUUUCGCUGAAGCUCAACCCUAGAAAUUGGCCCUACAUUAUCAUCUCUGGCAAAAUGUUACUGUACUUUAUUAAUUGUAAUAUUAAAAUAUACUUUAGGUGAUUUCUUGGUAUGUGUCAAAGCUUUGGUGGAUAUAGUUAUUCCGUAUUUGUCCUGGUGGGCGAUAGCAAUGACCAGGUGCAAUAGCCGUGGUGCGUGGAAGCUGGCCCACACACCAUCAUCAUCACAAAAAAUUUACUUUAACUUUUCCUUUUUUUUUUGUUUUUUCCUCUUGAGCUUUUAUAAUUUUAUACAUGUCAAGAUUUAGACAAGAAAGUUAUGUUGGUCUAUUCUUGAGAAUACAAAGUAGUGGAAAGGUUUACAUAAGGGAAAUGGACCAUCUGUUUGAAUUUUAUAAAUUGCCUAGAUACUGUUACAUCAUUCUUCUGACUUUAGUUGGCUGGAACAUACUUUUGACAUCUUACUAUGCCUUGGUCCACCCUUUCUCCCAUUUUUUAUUUCUAAACUUAAAAUUUUAGCUGAUGUUUUUGUGACUUUCAUAUACUAUAUAGGAGUUAGAAGUUUCUGGGGAGACAUACUCUGUACUGGGAGGAGAUGGGAUGCGAGAAGGAAGCAUCUGAUGAGUACUGCAAGCAAAACAGCCUCUUGCUUCAUGGAAAGAGGGUUUCUUCUUUCUUUAAAGUGAUGAUCGACAAAAGUUUCCACAAAAUUCUGGUAGAAUGUGAUUUUUUUCUUUGUGUGCUUACUUUCUUAACUUAGUUUAAAGUAUUCGUUCUAAAUUUACCAUUGGUUUUGAUAACCAUUUGCAAUUUCCAGUCAUUCUUGAAGUCAUAUGUCUGCUUUUUGAUGACAUCCUUUUGCUUAAUAUUUUGAAGACUAAUCUUUAUUUUUACUAUAGUUUUUUCUCAUCAAUGUAGUUAAAAUAUGUGAAAGACUAAAUGACUGAAAAAGCAUUUCCCAAUAUGAACUUUAGCAUACCCUUUAGGUUCAGGAUUGUACUCUAUACUAUUUUCCGCGGUAUCCCAAGAUGUCUUAGGAACUCAAUCCGUCAAUCGUCAAUCUUUCAGUGGAAGAAACAAGGUAUAACACCUAGCUAACUAGCAACAACAACAACAACUACCCAGUAUAUUCCCACCAGGUGGGGUCUGGGGAGGGUAAUAUNNNNNNNNNNNNNNNNNNNNNNNNNNNNNNNNNNNNNNNNNNNNNNNNNNNNNNNNNNNNNNNNNNNNNNNNNNNNNNNNNNNNNNNNNNNNNNNNNNNNNNNNNNNNNNNNNNNNNNNNNNNNNNNNNNNNNNNNNNNNNNNNNNNNNNNNNNNNNNNNNNNNNNNNNNNNNNNNNNNNNNNNNNNNNNNNNNNNNNNNNNNNNNNNNNNNNNNNNNNNNNNNNNNNNNNNNNNNNNNNNNNNNNNNNNNNNNNNNNNNNNNNNNNNNNNNNNNNNNNNNNNNNNNNNNNNNNNNNNNNNNNNNNNNNNNNNNNNNNNNNNNNNNNNNNNNNNNNNNNNNNNNNNNNNNNNNNNNNNNNNNNNNNNNNNNNNNNNNNNNNNNNNNNNNNNNNNNNNNNNNNNNNNNNNNNNNNNNNNNNNNNNNNNNNNNNNNNNNNNNNNNNNNNNNNNNNNNNNNNNNNNNNNNNNNNNNNNNNNNNNNNNNNNNNNNNNNNNNNNNNNNNNNNNNNNNNNNNNNNNNNNNNNNNNNNNNNNNNNNNNNNNNNNNNNNNNNNNNNNNNNNNNNNNNNNNNNNNNNNNNNNNNNNNNNNNNNNNNNNNNNNNNNNNNNNNNNNNNNNNNNNNNNNNNNNNNNNNNNNNNNNNNNNNNNNNNNNNNNNNNNNNNNNNNNNNNNNNNNNNNNNNNNNNNNNNNNNNNNNNNNNNNNNNNNNNNNNNNNNNNNNNNNNNNNNNNNNNNNNNNNNNNNNNNNNNNNNNNNNNNNNNNNNNNNNNNNNNNNNNNNNNNNNNNNNNNNNNNNNNNNNNNNNNNNNNNNNNNNNNNNNNNNNNNNNNNNNNNNNNNNNNNNNNNNNNNNNNNNNNNNNNNNNNNNNNNNNNNNNNNNNNNNNNNNNNNNNNNNNNNNNNNNNNNNNNNNNNNNNNNNNNNNNNNNNNNNNNNNNNNNNNNNNNNNNNNNNNNNNNNNNNNNNNNNNNNNNNNNNNNNNNNNNNNNNNNNNNNNNNNNNNNNNNNNNNNNNNNNNNNNNNNNNNNNNNNNNNNNNNNNNNNNNNNNNNNNNNNNNNNNNNNNNNNNNNNNNNNNNNNNNNNNNNNNNNNNNNNNNNNNNNNNNNNNNNNNNNNNNNNNNNNNNNNNNNNNNNNNNNNNNNNNNNNNCCUCGUCUUCGCAACCUUCAUUCUCUGAACAUGAGAGUUCUUCACGGGCCAGCACUCCGCCCUAUACAACAUCGCAGGUCUAACCUCGGCUCUGUAGAAUUUCCCCUUGAGUUUGUGUGGAAUUUUCUUGUCGCACAGGACCCCUGAAGCAAGCCUCCACUUUGACCCCUGAAGCAAGCCUCCACUUUGACCACCCCGCUCCUAUCCGAUGGGUGACGUCCCCGUCAAUCUGUCCGUCCCCCUGAAUCACAGACCCAAUAGCUAACUAGCAGGCAUCAAGUUAUUAAUGAAAAGAUCUUUUCUAAGUUUUAAAUUAGGUAAAUGACCUCAAGUUAUUUUUAAUUGGUGGAUGACCUCAAGUUUUUUUUUAUUCUUUUGUCUUUCCAUGUUUGGAUUAGGUUCAACUAAAUCAGCGAGUAGUCGUUCUUAUUAACUACCUUCUUGGUUGAUUAUCAAUUUCUUGGUCGAUUAUCACCCUAUUGUCGAUAGUCAACCUCCUUCUUGGUCCUUCAUCAACCCAUGAUCACUAAUCCAACUUUCUUCCCAAAUUAUCAAUUAAUUCUUGGUGGAUUAUCACCCUUCUGUCGAUAAUUAACCUCCUUCUUGGUUGUUUAUCAACUCGUGGUCGCUAAUCAACCUCCUUCUUGGUCGAUGUAGGUCAUUUUCAACCUCCUUCUUGGUUAUUUAUCCAUGAUCAGUAAUCAACCUCCUUCUUGGUCAAUGGAGGUCAUUUUCUUAAUUUCAAUCUUACGUGAAGAAAAUAAAGGUAAAAGAAAAUGAAAGUCAUUUCCUUAGUUAAAGUCUUACGGGGUCCUUUCAGUUAAAUCUUCUCAAGAUUCUGAUAUUCUGGACAUAUCCAUGUACUGUUUUAGUUUAUUCAUCCCCUUGUGUCUUCAAUCCUUCUUGUCAUAUACUAAAUUUAACUCCUCAGCUGAAAAUAUAUUUUUUACUGGAGCUUCUUUCUGGGUGUGACAAACGUGAAACGCCUCUAGACCUUUUCUUUUCCUCAUAUGGAAAGCCUUCCAAACACUCCUAAAAAAUUAAAACAGCAUAUCAGCAUAUUUAAAGCUAUACACUGCACAGAAAACAGUUAUGGUAUUGAACCUCAUCCUUACAUGCCCUUUGAGAUCGUAAAAUCAGAUUCUUACUUGAGUCUAAAGAGGGAUUUUAGCAGAUUCCUUUGAACUCAGAAAGUCAAAGCUAAAGAAUAUCCCUUUGGAUCUAAACUGAACGAGGCGAUAAAAAGCUCCAGAAAUGAUAAACUUUGACAUAGUUAGCAAACUACAGGAUUAUUACUUAUUAGGACCAAUAAACACCGUAAAAGUAAGGGUGCAAACUGCCCGGGCCUGAACCGGGACCGGACCGGGACCGCGGUCCUGUCGGUCCCGGGCCUGCCGGUCCAUUAAGCUCGUGACGGGCCGGUCCAUUUGCUUCGAACCGCCAGGCCCGGGACCGCGAGGCGGGCCUAGGCCGGUCCUGGCGGGCCCAACGGCUAUUUUCUAAAAAAAAAAUUUCUUUUUUAAAAAAAAAUCAGUAACGGGUCUUUUCAAAAAUAGCCGUUUGGAACUUUGUAAAAUAGCCAUUUGUCCUCCAAACUUUAUAUAAUUACAACUUUUCCCAUAUCUCAACUAUAAAUACCCCCUAAUUCUUUCAUUUUUUAUUCAUCAAUAUCUCUCAAUCUCUCUUUCAAUCUUUCUACUACAAUUGCUUAAUUUAUNNNNNNNNNNNNNNNNNNNNNNNNNNNNNNNNNNNNNNNNNNNNNNNNNNNNNNNNNNNNNNNNNNNNNNNNNNNNNNNNNNNNNNNNNNNNNNNNNNNNNNNNNNNNNNNNNNNNNNNNNNNNNNNNNNNNNNNNNNNNNNNNNNNNNNNNNNNNNNNNNNNNNNNNNNNNNNNNNNNNNNNNNNNNNNNNNNNNNNNNNNNNNNNNNNNNNNNNNNNNNNNNNNNNNNNNNNNNNNNAUUAGUAUGGCAUUUUCUUUGAAAAAAAUGUUCGGUAAAGGAAAAGGUAAAACCGGUGAAAGUAGUGGCCAUAAUACUACCCUUCCCCGGGCUCCCCGACCCAUAAAAGAUAAGCAAGUUGAAAGUAGUCGCCAAACUAGACGUCCUACUCCGCCUCGCGUAAUGCUUGAUAGCGAUCACCCUUGUUUUCAAUUUACCGAUAGUGAAUUUCUACAUUGAUGUUGCAGUAGGUGAUAGAUUAGAUAAUGAAAUUAUGAAUGAUCUUUAUCCUAAUGAACCUAUCUCAGAGGAAAAUGAGGAUGAUAAUGAUGAUGAUGAUAAAACACAAGCACCAUAUUUAGAUCUUUAUCCUUCCCUCCAAGAACUUCCCACCUUUGCUCUUGGGGAGACUCGAACUCACAACCUCUUGGNNNNNNNNNNNNNNNNNNNNNNNNNNNNNNNNNNNNNNNNNNNNNNNNNNNNNNNNNNNNNNNNNNNNNNNNNNNNNNNNNNNNNNNNNNNNNNNNNNNNNNNNNNNNNNNNNNNNNNNNNNNNNNNNNNNNNNNNNNNNNNNNNNNNNNNNNNNNNNNNNNNNNNNNNNNNNNNNNNNNNNNNNNNNNNNNNNNNNNGGCACACCCACCUGUAGAAACUCCAACUUUUAGUAGACAACCUGCUAAACGUGCAGAAACAUCAUUAGUUUGGCAUUUUUUUACUCAAGUAAGAGAACAAUAUAAGGCUAAGUGUAAAACUUAUGGGAAAUUACUUGUUCAUAAAUUUACUGGAGACCGUAGCGGCACAUAUAGUUUGGUUAGGCACAUAAAAAUACACUCUACAGAUAGGGCUAGAUUUUUUCAAAUGCAAGCGCAGCAAGAUGAAGAGGGGACAAGUGUAGAUUCUGCGGUUAACCCUAGUACAGGUUCAAAUCUAGUUCAACCANN